rnacentral:lncRNA from 1 species
UUUUUUUUUUUGGUAUAAAAGUGUAAAACUCUUUUACGCACAAUUUAAAAAAUAUAGUCAUUGAAUCUAAGUUAUCAAUUCAUAUUAUGGAUCAGAAAUGUAUUAGCAACCUAUCAUCUAAUAUUAAAAUGACUCUUUCACUAACUAUGUGGAGCUUAAUACUUGAAACUUGUUCAAUUAAAUAUUUAAAUACUAGAAUAAAAUAAUCUAUUUUUUGUUAGGUGUUUGACAAUAAUAUAUUUUACUCUUAUCUAUCUGUAAUACCGCGAAUUUUACGAUUUGGAAUUAUAAGAUUUUAUUAAUAUUUUUAUUACUAAUAUAUUCAAAAAUGAAUUUAUGGGAAUUUUAGGUAAAUAAUUAGACAAAACUCUAGUUGAGUUUUAGUCUUGUAAUUUUAUUUCCUAUUUUAUGGUAAAUUUUGAUAAUUUUCGGAGACAGUCGGUUUUGAACCACUGUUGGGACCGAAAUCCACCCGGUACGGUCCAAAAAGUGGUUUUUGAGUUCUGUAACUCGGAAUCAAAUUCCGAUUGCAUCGUUGGCUUCGUAAUUUCAUUUCGAGUCAAUAUAGACCCUGAAUACACCCAUACCUACUUUCUAAAUAUUUUUCACUCGGAAUGCCGAAAUCUGAAAUUCUAAUCGGAUAUUACGAUCGGGCGAUUUGUAAUAUCCGAUCGAGUAUUAGCCGAUAAUACUCGAGCAUGUUUAUCGCAUGUGUCCUCGAAGUGGUCGUUUCACAUUGGGAUGCGAGAUUUGCCUUUCCAUAAAGCAAACCUCACAUCACUCACCCUAAUGUCAUAGGAAAUCAUCAUUAGCCACCCUAGGAGAUUUGCCAUGAUUUCCUAGGGAAAAAAUCUGAUUUCCUUCUCUCCAUAAACUCCACACUUCACACUUCUCUCACUCACUCUUGUAUUUUCAAAGAAGAGGUGAGUCCUCUCUUCAUUUUCUCUCAUUUUUUCUUCAAUCUUCAAUCCUUGAUCUCUCAACAUUCAACCAAUGGAUGUUGAUGAGAUUUAAGUAUGUUGUUCAUGAGUAUGUCAAGAACAUAUUCAACCGUUGAAAUUUUCUAAAACGCUUUCUANNNNNNNNNNNNNNNNNNNNNNNNNNNNNNNNNNNNNNNNNNNNNNNNNNNNNNNNNNNNNNNNNNNNNNNNNNNNNNNNNNNNNNNNNNNNNNNNNNNNAACCAUCGGCUUGGACAAGUUGGAAAAGUAGAAAUCUUUGCUAAAAAGGAUGUUAAGGUUUAUGACUACAUGAAUGUCUCAUGAAACUCUUAAAUGAUACUUUGAAUAACUUACUUUAAAGUGGUAAAAUUAUCAAAGAAUGUCUUAAAUCGGAAUAAGUAGUUUUACUGAAAACCGUACGUUUAAAACGGAUGGAAAUCGUGAACGAACUUUCGAUGAAAAAGGAUGGUCAAGAACAUGUGAUGUUGGACCGGAUGGAUGAAAGUGAUGUAUGAUCACGAAAGGGAAAAAGAGAAAUGAUUUUAAGUAUUUUGGUAACGAUUUUAGAAAUAUCGGAAACUAACGGAUUUUUAUUGAGGUAGUUACGAAGAUUUCGGUGUUCGAACCUUGAAACCAAACCACCCUUAGUUGACGAGUUAAANNNNNNNNNNNNNNNNNNNNNNNNNNNNNNNNNNNNNNNNNNNNNNNNNNNNNNNNNNNNNNNNNNNNNNNNNNNNNNNNNNNNNNNNNNNNNNNNNNNNAUAUGAUUGUUGAUGAAAUGUGUUGAAUAUUGUAUAUGAAUGUUGUUGGGAACUUUUCUGGGUGUAGGUGUUUGAAAAACCAUGUUUAAAUGUGUUUCGGUUGUCGAAACAGGCAAAAGUUGGUAUUCUGUCCAAGUCCCUGUCGCUGGGGCGAGAAACUCUCGCCUAGGCGAGCACAGUCUCGCUUGGGCGAGGGGAAGUUUUGGUUUUGGAACUCCUCGCCUGGGCGACCAAUCCUUGCUUGGGCGAGCAAGCCUCGCUUGGGCGAGCAAGGGUCCCGCUUAGGCGAAAAAGCCCAGGAUUUCGAUGAAAUUCUGGAACUUUCUCGCCCGGGCGAGCAAAAGUUUCGCUUCGGCGAAAAAAAAACCAGGAUUUUAAUGAUGUCUUGCUUGAGCGAGAAGGAGCCUCGCUUGGGCGAGGAAGGCUUAGGUUUAAUUGAGAUUUAAAGAAGAAUUGUCGCUUGGGCGAGAGGGCCUCGCUUGAGCGAGAGAUGCCUAGUUUUNNNNNNNNNNNNNNNNNNNNNNNNNNNNNNNNNNNNNNNNNNNNNNNNNNNNNNNNNNNNNNNNNNNNNNNNNNNNNNNNNNNNNNNNNNNNNNNNNNNNUUAGGGCACUGCCCAGAAAGGAACCCAGGAUACCACGUAGCGAGAUCGGCUGACCGUAAGAGGCUUGGUCUGGGACCGUCCAGGGUAUUCAGCGAUGGUCAUAGUGGUGGGAUGUAUUUCCUUUAUAUUACAUGUUAACGUAAGAUCGGGACCCACAAGAAGCAUUCCUGAGGGAGAUGACUUAAGGAGGGCCGAGCAUGGUAAAUAAUGAUUAAAAGAUUUAAUCAUCUAACUGCGGUUAGUGUUCAUAUGCAUAUGGUUAAUAAUGGAGUAGUGGAUAGGAAAUUGACGGUAUGACUUGGAGUAGUGGUCUGGGCAUCCCUCUCAUUGAUGGUCAUAGUGGUGGGAUGUAUUUCCUUUAUAUUCCAGGAGGGGGCAUGAGGAGAGGCAGUACCCUAGCCUUGGAUCGAGCCACUAGGAGUUGCUCAUCAUUUUGUGACUUUUGAAACAAUGACGGCUUCAGCUUGUUCAUGUCUUUGUUUAGUGUCUUUUGGCGAUGAUUAAUCUUUCCGCCCUUUCUUUUUGGAUUUUGUAUAUGUUAGUGGCGAUGUAGUUUCCGCCUUUGUUGACUUAUUUUGUAUGAACUAAAGAUGACUUAACUGUUUAUAUGCAUGACGUUAUUCAGGAAAUUGUGAAUCAGGUUAAGUUAUCAUUCGAUAACGAUAAGUUGAUUUUCCGCAUUUGAGUUACUUAAAGUGAUGUCCCGGAAAAUGAAGGUUUUAAAAGGAAACAAUUUUACAUCACUAUUUAAAAAAAAACAUAUUUUUCCGCAAUGUUUUUUAGAAGUAUUUUUCGAGGCGUUACACUAUCCAUAUGUUAAGUGCAAUAGAGAAAUAAAAAGUAUUUAAUAUGAGUUGAAAAUUAAUUACUAGGUUGAUUUGAUUAUUAUUAAUUGAGUUUAAAUGAUAAGAAAUAGUUCAUAGACCUCCUUCCCUAGUUUAGGAUAUCACAGAGAUUAUACUAACCAUAUCUUCGAGACCAUACUAGUUACUAAGUGCUUCUAGCUCUCGGUUUAAUUAAAAGUAUGUCAAUAUUUUUUUCUUAAAAAAAAUGUAAUUUAUUGAAAUGAACUUAAUAGCAAAAAAACAAAGUUGAUUGUAAAUCAUUUUCCCAUUUUGAGAAAUAAUAUAAUAAUACUAAUGAUUAUGAUCGCUUCUUAAUUGGAGUAAAAAAAUUAGAUAUAACACAAGAAAUGACCUUACUAUUACUAUUGAAUUCUCAAAUUAUUUUUUAUUAAAAAAUAAUUUUAAUAGGGUUAAGAGAAAAAAAUAAAUAUAACAUUAGUUAUGAAUAGUCUCACAUUAAAAAAUAGUAGAAGUAGUACUGAUGAAUAUAAUUACUUCUCAAUCCAAGUCAAGAGGAAAUAUAUGACAAAAACUAUAUGACCCCAUUUUUAACCCGUUUAAUCAUGUAUUUAAUUUUUAUUUUAAUUUACAUUAUUUAUUUAUUAUUGUAUAAGAAAAUAUUUAAUAAUUAUUUGAAUAUUAUUUUUGAAAAAAAUCAAAAAUAAAUAAUUCAUUAUUCAAUUAUUAUAAACUUAUAGCAAAAGGGGUAUGUAUAGAAAUAAAUAAAAUAAGAAAACUAGAAAAUACCUACACCAGUAACACCACCACAUCUCAGGGCUGAUUUGUGAUUAACAGAAGCAGUGAUACAAUCUUUGAUAGUACAAGGAGGACUUUUGGGUCAUUUCAGGGUAAGUCCUUCACCGUAGGUACGUUAGUGAUAAUUUUUAGGGUAAAUUAUUAGAGUUAUGAUGCAAAUGAGUUGAUUUUGAGGGGACUAUUUUCAUGUGAUGAUGUCACAAAUAUAUUAUUAAAAAAAUCAAAUGUAAAUAGGCAAUGACGACAGAUGAAUUAUUUGGAAAUGGAAAUGGAUUGAGAGUGAAAAUGGUGGGGCGAAUAAAAUGAGUGAGCAUGUGAUACAAUUUAGAAAAGGAAUAUUGACUCGUGAACUUUUGCAUUAUUAUGGUUAUGGAAAUACUUUUAAAAGAAAUUAAUUAUACGACAAAUUGGAUUUGGCUAAGAAUGUGACAUAAAACACAUUUAAAAUGAUAAUUAUGAUGAAAUUAAUGGAUAUUUACAAGCUUUAAUUAAUACAUGUGUAAGAUCAUGGAAAAUUAUUAUGAAUCAUUAUGAAUGUUUAUGAGUUAGAUCGUGAAAGAAUAGUAUGAAUGAUUAUAAAAGAUGAAGACAAGAAUACCAAUUUACAAAUAUGAUUAAGAACUAAAGUAAAUAGAAAAUAAAACAAACAAAAUAGAAUAUGGAUUAGAGGAGGAAUGUGUGAGAACUAAUUUAAAUCACAAAAUAUCAGUGAUAAGAUUCAUUAUGGUUCAGUCAAGGACCGAAGAAAACAAAGUUAUUCAAAAAUACUGUACAUGACCUUAUUAUAUAUAUAUAUAUAUAUAUAUGUAUGUGUAACGUGUUAAUAUUAAUAUAUUAAUAAAGUCAUAUACAUUAAUUUCAUAUAAUUGUAGCAAAAAUUAAAAAAUAUUUAAAAAUUAAUUAUUAGGUAUAUUAAAUAGUGAAAUUCCUAUAUUGAAUAUGAGGAGUUAAGAGAAAUAGAUUAAAACUAGAAAAGUCUAAUCAAACUCCUCGAUAAUUGGAGUCUCCCUGAUUGUGGUUGGAUCUAACAAGUGGUAUUAGAGCCGGACAAUAAUUCUACUAAGAUAUGGUGGUUAAGGGGAACAAUAAGUUGUAUGGUAUCCACAUUUGAAGGGAAUAUUGUUGAAUAUAUUUAAAUGUAAAGUCUCACAUUAAAUAUAAGAUAACUGAAAAAAUAAAUUUAUUUUAAUUCAAGACGUAAUAUUUCACUUGUGAUUUGUCUCUCUUCUCAUACUAAAAGCCUAAGACAACAAAUUUCUCUAGUAGUUGGAGACUCUAUUGUUACAUUCCAGUCUAACUCUGAUACAUAUAAAAAGGAUAGUAAACAUUUAAGUGUGCACAUUUUGAUAUAUGACUUGGUGACACUCCGGUCAAGGGUUUGGUCGUGGACUCUAUAAAUUUGGUAAAAUUGAAGGAUUUAUAAAGUGUUGGUCAAUGCAGCAAGCACAAUUAGUUGUGAUGAGGGCAUGUUCAACUGAUUCAAUUUGUAGCGGUUUUGAUCGAUAGUAUCUGUCUUAAUUCUUAAACAUGCUCAACACCUAUCAUACUCAAAAUGAGCUACUAACGUAUAAUUUAAGAAUAUAUAAGACUGUUUCUUUUCUUAUAAACAAAUAAAAAUGAGUCUUUCAAGAUAUGUACAAUGUAAGAAACUAACGGAUAAUCCAAUUUACGAUUUUGUUGCGUGUGAUAAACUGAAUUGCACAAAAAACAAAUGUUCCUAUAUAUGUUAAACAACUUGCGUACACAUAAUGCAUCCCAAACGAAUAUAGCCCUACCUGUGAUGAAUGAAAUUACAAAGAAGUUUAUGAAAAAUAAAUAAAUAAAGGAAUUACAACGAAAUUUAAAGUUCACGUGCAUGAAAUAGUUGAAAUUGCACACAACGGUCCAUUCUUGUAACAACCGAAAACGAAAUUUCAUUCAUUGGGUACACUAUGCAAACACUGACAAUUUUAUAGGGGCAUAGGUAAAUGAGCAUCAUGCCAAUAUUGUGAUAUUCCAAAAUAAGGGCGUUUGUGGAACAGUGUGAGACGUGAGAGAAUUUUAUUAUAAAGUAAAACAAUUCAUACUGAGAUAGUAGAAUGAAACGGUCGUUCUUUUUGUUUAGUGAAUAAGUAUCUUUGAUGGACAUAAUCACCCCAAGGGAAAUUUUUUUUCCGGUAAGAGGGAUAUUAGUGAAAUUCAAUGGUUUCAAUUCAUAUAAUUGUUGAUUAUGAUAAGGAGUAAGUUUAAAAAACUUAUUUUUAGAGUAAAAGAUCCCACUCUUCCCGUAACAUCUAUCAUUUUUUCUUACUCAAGACCUUAAGAGGAAUUCAAUAUUUAUCUUUUAUCUUAUUAGAGCAUGGACUUUUUUCUACCCUGAAAAUUUCAAUACUUAAAUAUAAUGUUAUAAUCAGUUUGAAAAUUUAUAAAUUUUUUAUUUAAAAAUAAUUUUAUAUCUAUACCAUUAGUUUUUUUUUUAUAAAAAAAACAUGUAUUACCACUGGAUCCUCCCAUAAUAUCAAAAGGUAUCUAGGUUCAUCUAAUUUUUACUUCACAAUUUGGUAACUUCCCCUUUUAAAAGUUUUCUAAGCCAUUAAAUGCUCAUCAAUAGGAAAAUUGAUAUUUAAUUAUUGUGACUUUUCAAAAAAGUAAUCCAAAUAAAUGAUAGAUUAUAAAAUGUAUGUAUAUAAAUAUUUACAAUGUAGAUUUUACAUUCAUGUUUGAUACAUCUAUAUUAAUUAAGAUAUUCUUUGAACUCUUCAAUACAAAAAUGUGAGGACAAUGAAUUUUUUGAUUUUUUAAAUCAUUUAUUUCAAAAUAUAUGGAUGUCAAAAAUCAUUCAAUAAAGCAUUGGUUGAACUGAAAUAAAAAAAAAAUUCUAUUCAUUGUCUAGAUUGAUUUUAACAGCACUAUUAAAGAGAAAAUUGUCUGUAUUCAUUGUCCAAUUAUAAGCAUUUUGGACCUGUACAAAAUUGUCCCGUGUACUUGGCUAGAUGCGGAAAAUGAAAAAAAUAAUCUAAUUUUACUAUAAAAAGUUAUAGAAAUGCAAUAUCUAUGUAUUAUUAACAUAAACAUUUAUAUAUAAUUAUUAAUAAUAAUAAGUGAUAAAAUUGUAAAAGACUCUUACAUCGUCAAUAAAUAGAUAUUUUACUUCAAUAACAAUACAUUGUAAGCUCAUUACCUAAGGCUACAAAUGAGGAAAGUUAGUAGGAAAUCAAUCCAAACAUUCCAUUACAGAAAAUGAAUGUAUUAGGUUUCCUCCGAUACAGAUACUGAAAUAAAAAUAACUAAUUACUAAUAUUUUGACCCACCGCCCCAUUUAUAAGGGGCCAUAUUCGUUUAAGCAACUAAUACCUUUCCCCAUUCACACUCUCCCAUCUUUCCUAAAUAAUCUUAUUCAACUACUUUUCAUCUCUUAUCAUCUUCUCUAUAUAUAUAAGAAUCAUUCAUUCAUAAAAAUUCACCCUUUAUUGCAAAACUGAAUCCUUUUGUCUCACUCUUCAUCUCUAUAUCUUAAACUAUGGCCUUUAAGAGAGACAUUGUUCUGAUUCUGAUUCUAGCAGUGAUUGUAUUGUUUCAAAUUCAGACAUGUGAGUCAGAUAUAAACAUAGCAGACUUUCCACAUGGCUUUACAUUUGGCACCGCUUCUUCAGCUUUUCAGGUUCCUAUCUACUUCCAUGUUAUUUAAUUGUUGCCAUUGGUUACAUUUUUAUUCUGUUUCUCCCCAUAAGAUAAUGUUUUCUUAUUUUUUUUUACAAAUGUAUCAAAUUUCAAUAUCCAACGUACUCCUUUCUUUUCUUUCCGGUAAUGUGUCAAUGACUUGGACAAUGUCUUCCUCAAUGAGUCAAACCAAUAGAUCAAUGGUUGGACUGGUUAAUUUGAUUUAUAUUACAUAAUAUUAUGUGACAAUAUUUAAUAAUUGUACACUUGAAAUUUACAAACUUUAAUUAAACAAUAAAAAAAGAAUAUUUUAUUAUUAUAAAAUGAUAGUUGAUAAGUUCAAAAUUUAAUUAAACAAACGAAUGACAAGCAUAACUAUAAAUAAUUUAAAAGUAUUCGUUUUUAUUAAAAAACGACAUGGAAUUCGUUUUUUUAUAAAAACAUUUUUUGAUCGACUCGGUCGGUCUAAUCAUCCGAGUUACUAGUUUUAGGCUUAAACUGAUCGAAUCAACUUGAUUUGAUCUAAAUCCGGUUAGAAGAGAUGCUCGGAUUGGUUAGAUGUCCGAUUCAAUGAACCGGUUGGACCGACCGUUUUGAGCCAAGUUUUAUAAGAAGGCUUUCAAUAGUUUAGGACUUUAGGGCAUGUGCUAGAAAAUUCCAUAUUAUUAUACUAUAUAUUUAUAAUUUGUUUUUAUUUGCUUUUAUCUUGAUAUAUGUUUACUCUUUUACAUCCACGGUACUGCGUUCUUUUGACUUUUGAAAUAAUUAAUUUUAUUGAUGUAAAUUAUUAAAUUGUAUCUGUUUUGGAUGAUUUGAGUUUUUUUUGCCUAAAUAAAAGGUAAAUAUGAGGGUGUGUUUUUGAGUUCAUGUAUUUAUUUCUUCAUAUAAUAUCAGGGUGUGUUUUUGAGUUUAUGUAUUUAUUGCUUCGUAUAAUAUUGUCGUGGAAAAUUUCACAUGCGAGGAGACCUAUCUUAUUCUUCUUAAAUGAAAUUUUCGGUAAGGAGUGUGAAAAAGAGAUUUAAGAUUUCCCAAUUUAAGUCUUUUGUUUUUUAUCGAUGGUUGUGUCAAAAUUUUACAUUCCUCAAUUUUGUCUUUUGUGAGUGCUGGAGUUAACGUCACUCUUUAUUAUUAUAUAUUUAUACUCCUUCUUAAUAAAAAAGUCUAUCAAUAUUCAUAUUUUAAAAUAAAUAAUUGAGAGUCCCAACCACACCAUCCGUUUUUGAUUAAUUAGAACCAUUAAUUGAGGGGUCAAAUUAGUAUGACUAAUUGUUGAAAAAACAUUAUUCAAUCAUUUUUUGGCACAAAUAUUUUUCUAAAAGCUAGAGAGUUUUUGUUUUUUUGUUUUUCACAUAAAUGUUUUUGAUAAAGUUAGAUUCAUUUCAAUAUCCCAAGAUUUUUGUGUCUACUAAUUUAGUCUUAAAAAAUUGAAAAAUUUACUUUAAUCCCAAAGAAAUUAACUUUGAUCCAUGUUAUUUAGCAUAUCUUCAAGUUAACCGAUGAUAUGUAAAGUGUGUAUGUGCUAUUUUUCCUAUUUUUCAUUGCGGAAAUUAAUUUAUAGUAAACAAAACAGAUAGAAAUAUAUGGUUGGACAAAUAUGAUAAAGCUAAAUCAACCAAAAAGUAGUGAAUCUUUAAAAUUACAUAAACAGACAUCAAAAGGUUAAAUAAUGCAAAGAAGUUUUCUAACCAUUGUGAAUUUUGUAUGCAUACACCUAGCUUUUAUGGUUUCUUUUAUUUUGGACAAAUUCAUGUGAUGAUUUAAAUAGUAGUUGUUGAUUUCCAUCUAGUAUGAAGGAGCAGUUAAAGCAGAUGGAAGGGGACCUUCAGUGUGGGAUACUUUUUCGCAUAAAUUUGGUAAGGUACUAUAAGACCAUAUUUAUAUGAAGAUACUCACUAAUCACCAUUUCACAUUAACUGUCCUUAAGAAUUUAAGAACUACACUCAUUUCAGUUUCCAUUUUCCAUACCUUGUUUGUGUUGAACUGGCAUAAAUGAAAUGAGAUCGGUUGAUGGAUGUCUAGCAUCAAAUUCUUAACAUGUUAAUUGCUGUCUGACCAUUAUCUUACAUUAUGUUGCAGGCAAGAUAAGUGAUUUUAGCAAUGCUGAUGUUGCGGUAGAUCAAUACCAUCGAUUCGAAGUAUGUGUAAUGAUCAGUACAGCUUUAGAACAUAAUUGGCGAUACGCCGAUACCCUUUUAGGUGUAUUUGUAUAUUUGAUAUUUGAUCACCUAAAACCUAUAGAUUACAGCCAGAAAUUAAGUCACACAUCUAUGUCUGUAUACACAAACUACACUUGGUACUUUGUCAAAUUGGCCUUGGUACUUUUAUUUAAUAGAAAAUGUGUAACCCUUGAUGCCUUUGCAUAAUAUAGCUCAUUUAUGAAGUUCAUUAUAUUGAAAACUUCUGGUGUUUUGCUCUUUAUUAACUUUAAAUUGUAUUCUCAUGCAGGAAGACAUAGAACUUAUGAAGGACUUGGGAGUAAGUGCUUAUAGGUUUUCCAUUUCUUGGACUCGGAUUUUUCCCAGUAAGCAUUUAUUGCUCUUCUUUUAGUAAAUGUGCUAAGUAAUUGUUUUAUUGCUAUGUACCAGCAAAUGGAGGUUGAGAUCCACAAUUUUGUGCUCAUUGUUUGUAGAUAUAUUAAAUUAUUAAUAUUGAAGUUCAGUUGAAUAAUACAUUAUUAACAGUUUGUUCAAUAUGCUCGCAUUGUUUAGCAUGAAAUGAAAAUGCUUAAGAUGCUUGCAGUGUAAAUACAUGACAUCAGUUGGAUGAAUUACUUGCUUGUAGUACAAGUAACUAUCAACUAACCAGCUUGCUAACUAAUCAUACUCUGAUAAUUAGUCUAAGUAUGGUAAUAUAUAAUGUGUUAUACCCCUUUUGAAGAUAAUAAUCAAGAGGUAUUCUUGUACUCCAACUUCCAAUUUUUUUGACCCUUCUGUGCUUCUGUUGAAUAUUUUUAGCACAUACUUUUUGAUUGGUUAAUUACCAAGUAUUUUGCUAGCUACUAUGGAAGUGUCAGUUUAUCUGUGGUAGCUUCUAGAAGAUUAUAAAAUGUUCUAAACUCGUAAAAAUUUCAUUUUAGAUGGUUCCGGCGAAAUCAAUCUGGCAGGAGUUGAUCAUUAUAAUAAACUCAUCGAUGCAUUGCUAGCCAAAGGUAGCUCUCAUUACCCCUGAACAAUUGUUAGAAUUCUGUAUUUUACUUUUGAAUAAAAAAGAAGUUCUGUCAAUGAGUACUGUGUACAUCUUGUGAGUGUGGACUUAUUAAUUAGCAUAUAUUGAUUUACAUUUGUAUCUUCUUCAUGCAUUCAACGCUUCUUCUUGCUUGAUCCAUUAUAUUGGCAGGAAUUGAACCGUACGUGACCAUUUACCAUUGGGAUCUACCUCAAGCGUUGGAUGACAAGUAUGAUGGAUGGCUCGGCACUGAGAUAAUGUAUGCAAUGUUAUACAUCAAUUUAACUUUUGAUUUUUUGCAGAACUCUUCAAUUCUUUUAAAUGGUAAUCACUAAUCACUAUCAAUAUAUGGUAAUAAUUUAUAUGACACUUGUGUGCUACAGAAAGGACUUUGCAAAUUAUGCUGAGACAUGCUUUCAGAAAUUUGGGGACAGGGUAAAACACUGGAUCACUUUUAAUGAACCCCAUACAUUUGCAACACAAGGAUAUGAUGUUGGUCUCCAAGCACCUGGACGGUGCUCCAUUCUCCUCCACUUGUUUUGUAGAAAAGGGAACUCUGCCACCGAACCGUAUCUUGUUGGUCACAAUGUCUUGCUUUCUCAUGCAGCUGUAGCAGACAUUUAUAGAAAAAAGUAUAAGGUAAGGUUAAGUUCAUUGCUAAAUAUAGGAUUAAAUGAAUAUUAUUUGGUAGUUGUGAAGUUGAAAUCUCAAUAAGAAAGCAAUUGAACGAAUCAGAUUUAAGGCUGAAUCUUGUGAAAGUUCAAGUCCAAAUUUACAAAAAAGUUGUUCUGGUGUAAUUUAUUAUACUUCUAAAGCUUAUAUAAGUUAGAAUUUCAUAGUCUUGUCCAGUUCUCAUAUUGCAAUGAUGCACAUAUAACUUAAAAGCUUAUUUGUAAAUAACUUGGUUAUUGCACAGAAGAUACAAGGUGGAUCACUUGGGAUAGCUUUUGAUGUCAUGUGGUAUGAGCCAGCAACAAAUACUCAAAAUGACAAUGAUGCAGCCCAGAGAGCCCAGGAUUUUCAAUUAGGCUGGUAAGUCUUUUACAUAUACAUGUUACAUGAUUAAGAUUUUCAUAUUUUCUAUUGAAGUGCAUUAAAUGAAUGACUGAAUGAGAAUAAGAAAGGGAGUGCUGCACUCAUUGGAUCUUCUAUGUAGGAUUUGUAUAAAAGACUAACCCAUUGCUUAAAUUUGAAACUAAGGCUUCCCAUUUGGUUCAAACUAGAUUGUUAAUUGUCUUAAUGACAGGUUUCUUGAUCCUUUGAUGUUCGGCGAUUAUCCAAGCUCGAUGAGAAGUAGAGUAGGAAAAAGGCUGCCAAAAUUUUCUGAAGCUGAGGCUGCUCUAGUUAAGGGUUCAUUAGAUUUUGUGGGAAUCAAUCACUACACCACAUAUUAUGCAAGAAACAAUGAUACCAAUGUGAUUGGAACUCUGCUCAAUGAUAGCAUUGCCGACUCCGGUGUCAUUACCCUCCGUAAGUUUAAGACCAAAUAUUAUCACACAACAUUUUUUGUGUCAAAUAAUCAAGCAACCACAUAUACCCCUUGUUAGAAUGCUUUAAACUGCCACUAUGAGUCAUUUUUUACCCUUUGCUUUCAGCUUUCAAAGGUAGAAAAGCUAUUGGAGAUCGGGUAAGUCUUACACAAGUGAAGCAUUUUUCUUUUGUCUCCUUGAGAUGAGACCAUAAUGUGAUGAUGAUUGAUUUACCAUUUCUGUAUUUUAGUUCAUUAUGUAUACAAUAUCUAUAUUAUUCACGGAAGAAAUUUGUAAACUUUGACUUGCAGGCAAAUUCUAUAUGGUUGUAUAUAGUACCACAAGGAAUGAGAAGCUUAAUGAACUACAUAAAACGAAAGUAUGGGAACCCUCCUGUUGUUAUCACUGAAAAUGGUAAUCUUCAAACUCUUGCAUUAUGCCAAAACUCCCAAGUGCAAUUGGCAUUCAGAACUCAGAAGUUAAAGCCUAACAUAAAUUACAUAGUUGAACGUCAAGAUAUGAUUUCAAAUUUAUAUAGGACAAGAUUUGUAUAUUUUUACUUUCCAUAUUUUUGUAAUAUGAGAUAAUUUUUUCUAGCUAGCCAACACUUUAAGUUAAUUGCAAAUAUGGAAUAAAAGCUGUGAGCAUAAUCUUCUUUCUCAUUGUUGUUACAGGGAUGGAUGACCCAAAUAGUAUAUUUAUCCCUAUUAAAGAUGCUCUAAAGGAUGAGAAAAGGAUUGCUUACCUCAAAGGCUAUUUAUCUGAACUAUUGGCUUCUAUCAAGUAAGUAGUAGUUAUUAUUGGGUUUUUAGUUACACUACUUAUUGAUUCUGUCUUUUUUGAAGUAUUUAGUCCUUUAUUUGUUGAUUUUCAUCUUCAUCAUUAACUUGGAAGGACAUGAAUGAAAAUCAACACCUAAAUACUUUAAAAGGAAAAAAAUAUAAGGACUAAAUCAGCGUGUUUUCUGUUCUUACAUGACAUAAUUUUAGUCCAUAUGUUUUACCUUUUUUUUAAAUAUUUAGUUCCUUCAUGCUAUCAUUUUUCAUCUAAAGUUAAUGAGGAUGGUGCAAACUAAUAUCAACUCAAAAUAAAGGACUAAGAAGUACUAACUAAAAUCAGCUCAACCCAUAAAUGUUGGAAGGAAAAUGUAUAUCUCAUCCUAUUAUUUUUUAAUUAUUUAUUUCAUUCUAUGCUGCAAGAAUUUAUUGUAUAUUUAUGGGUCUGCGGCUAAGCUAUGACAUUCCAUGAUUUGAAUAUUUCUUAAUGUUUUAUAAGACAAAUAAUAUUUUCCUACUAUUUAAGUAAAUUAAUUAAUACAUGGUAAUUUGACUGAUAGCAGAGAUGGAUGCAAUGUGAAAGGAUAUUUUCAUUGGUCACUAUUAGAUAAUUGGGAGUGGGCAGCUGGAUACAGUUGUAGAUUUGGUAUGUAUUUUGUUGAUUAUAAUGACAACUUGAAGAGAUACCCCAAACAAUCGGUUCAAUGGUUCAAAAACUUCUUGAAAUCCACUAAGUAACUUCUGAAAUCUUUGUACUGUUCUAUUUAAGUUUUAUUCAAUUAUGUUGGUUAAUGUGUGGAAGAAGCACCUUUAAUUCUACUAUACAUCAAUAAAAAAUGCAGAAAUGUUGUUAGUAAAGAAAUAUUGGACCCAUUAACUAUGUACUUUGUGGAGAACAUUUUCAGACUUGUAUAGGGUUUGUGAUCUGUCCUGAUUGUAGUACAUCUAUUUUCUUUACCUUCACAAUGGUAUCUCAGUUAUAUUUUCAAUUUUCUUGAGAUUAUAUCUCCAUAAACAAAUUCUCAUUUCAAUAAAAUAUUCCUUCUUUAAAACUAGAUAGGAAAGUAGGUUUUAUAAGUAAAAAUUAAAACACGUGAAAUUACCUUUAUUUUUUAUUCAUGAAAAGAUCCACUUCCUUCUUCUCACAAACUACUAUACGUGCUAUUGCCAUGCACCAUAUUAUACUAACUCUUACAAUAUGAUCCCUAUAGCAUAUUAUUUUUACCUAACACAUACACAAACCAAGCACUAGUCUUCAUGCAUGAAAAUCAUAUAAACCUAGCUAGUGCCAUACAACCUAGCUGUAUCAAGCUUCAUUUCUGGUCCCUGCCCUUGUUGCCGCCACCGGCACCACCUCCUCCUCCUCCUGCACUAGCAUCUCGUCCACUCUGACCACCACCACCACCACCAUCAUCUCCUCCUGCACUAGCAUCUUGUCCCCAUUGACCGCCACCGCCGCUAUUGAAUCCAGCAGCACCAGUAGUGGCAUAAAGAGUGGGAUCAUAAGUUCCAUAGUUAGGUAAAGCAUAUGCUCCGGCAGCAGCAACACCAGUGACUGGUGGAGGGGCUCCAUAGCCUGUAGCCACGGUGGACUCAUAAUAAGUAUAUUGGGUUACAGCUGGGUCCGUAGCACCUCCUGUUCCAAAUUGAUCGUUCUUUCCAGAAUCAUCAUCACGGUCUUGGUUAGAAAACUGGUCUUGGCGGUUUUGUUGUUGUUGUUGUUGUGCCAUAUUGAGAUUAGAUGUUAUAUGAGAUAAGACAAAUAGAGAAGCGAGUUUGUGAUUGCAUAUUAUUAGUAGCUAUAUAGUGAUGAAUGAGGAGUGGUUAAGCGGUGAGGAUUAGCAUAGUUGCCGAUUGAGUUAUAUUACAGUAUCUGCCACGUUAUUAUGUGGAUGGCUUGGAAUCACUUAUUUCCAACACGUAUUUUGAAUCAAAUUUAUAUAAACAUCAUCGGUGCGGUGCCUGGAUUCAUAUUUUUUUUCUUUUCUUCUUCGGAAAAGACAUGAUGAAUGAAUAAAGACAUGUUACCUCGAGGACUCGAGCCAAUUAAAAAAGAGUAAAUAAUAUGACUAGUUUUGGCGAAAUUAUAUAAAUUAUUUUUCAAUUUUUUAUACCUACAAAUCCCUCAUUUUGUAUACUUUUAUUACACUGAUAUUACACUCAUGACUCCUGAACGUGAAAUAAAUGUAAUAUUUUAAACAAAAAUAUGAUAAAUGCAAUUUAGUUAAACAAAAUAUAGGUAUAUUUUGGAGACAAAUCCAAAUAAUAUAUGGAUUAAUACAUAUUUAUCAUUUUUUGGUUCGUUACGAUAUAGUACAAAAUCGAUUUAAACAAUAUCUCUUUGGAAUUGUGGAUGCAUUUUGUAACAAAAAAUAAUAAAGAUACAUUAAUUUGUAUAUUAUGUGGAUUUGUCUCCACAAUAUAUCAUGUUUUGUUUAACUUAAUUACAUUUAUCAUCUUUUUUGUUUAAAAAGUUACAUUUAUUUCUCAUGCAGGGGUCAUCAAUAUAAUGACAAUGUAAAAAUUAAGGAGUUUUAUGUAGGUGUAAAAAAGUGAUGGGUAAUUUAUAUAAUUUCACUAAAAUCAGGGCUGUCAGUGUAAUUUACUCCUAAAAAAUUAAAUUUAUAUAAUUUUGUUUCAUUUUAAUUAGUUAACGACAAACUUGGACGUAUAUACGUAUAUAUAUUUUUUAUGAUGUCAAUGUUAAUUAUUUUUCAUGUGUUAUCCAUAAUGUAUUUUUUUUUUCCAAUGACUAAACAUAAUGUAUUCUCUAGUGACAUUAGUGAAGCAGCAAGUCAUCAGUAACCACAAAUAAGCAAAAGUUUUUAUAAAAUUUUAUGGAGGGGAUAUAUAAGAGCAGAAAAUGACUAAACAAAUUAAGUAUAGGAGUGCAUGUUCAACCAAAGCGAAUGACUAAACAAAUCAAUAUAACAUAUAUCACAAAUCAAUAUAACAUAUAUCACAAAUCAAUAUAAUACAAGUAUAGUUAGAACAAGAGAAAAAGUAUAAUAUAAUGAAUGAAAUUUUAAUUCUAUAUAAGUAUAAAAUUGAUCAUUUGUCUUUCUAUCAAUGGAGAGAUCAAAUUCCCCAAAUUAAUCUCUCCUGCAAUAUCUGAUAAAAUCUUAAUAUUUAUUACAAAAAGUUGAAUAGUAAAAAAUAAAAAUAAAAUUAUAUGUGACCAACAUUACCCUCCUAAGAUUGCGUUUUGACCAUAAUGUAAUUGCUCCACCAAUUAUUAUUGAAACUUCCUGCCAAUUAUUUUUAACCGAGUUAAUUUUCUUCCAAUACCAGUUGAUAUUAUUGUGGGGACAUCAUAUCAGACCAAAAAUCACCAUCUUUCAUGUAUAUUCCAUAAUAUUCUUAGUCAAAUUAAUUCAGCCUUUUCAUUCCUUGUGAAAUGAAGCAUACAAGAGUGUAUAUACAAGACUUGAUCAACAGUUCAGCUUAACUGAUUCAUAUCAUAUUUUUAUAAUUAGGAGGUUAUAUCAUUUCUUGUCAUUAAUUAACAAAGUGGUACAUUCCAAGCAUUCUUAUAAGUACCGGGUGACUCACGUAAUUUAAAUUCAAUCAACUUCAUUUUUUCUAUGAAUUUGAUUGGUUAUUUUAAGCCUUUAAUUUCUUGUCAUGGUUAAUGUUUCCUUAACCCUACUAGCUAUAUUAUUUGUGCAAACACUUGCUACCUGUACAAGAAAAUUGUGAAAUUAGUAUACAAAAUCAGAAGUGUAUGUAUAAAUGAAGGAAAAUAUGAAACUUCAAUGACAAGUAAAGCGAAUGAAAUAGAAAGAAGUAAGAAACUAAAAAAAUAAAUUAAAGCCACAUGCAGUUAGGUGCUAAAUUUUAUUCUAUGUAGAGAUAAUGAUUGGUUUAAAUAGAUCUAAGCUUAAAUGCAAUAAAAUAAUCUGUAUAUUAGUUAACUUGUAAAUAAAUAAAGAGCAUGUGGCAGUUAGCGUAGGAUGAAGGAAAAUGAGAAAAAGCAAAGGUGCUGGCAUGUAAUGCUUUAUUCACGUUAUGUUACAUAUUACUAUUAUAAAUAGAUCAACCACAUGUUUCUUCAUACUUCAUUCCACCACAGAAACAGAAAGAAUAAGCUCUAUUCUUCUUCACCACUCACCUCAUCACCACCACUUUCUUCUUCUUUUUCCAUCCUAUUAGACAAGGUAAUGGUUUUGAUCUUUUUCCUUUUUUGUGUUCCUUUUUCUUGCCUUUUGUUUCUGUCAUUUGGUGCAACUGUUUUAUUUGUGAAGAGAUCCACAUUAUAGAAUUUGUCACGUAUGAUUUCAUAUUUCUGCAUGUGUAUGUAUACAUACAAUACAAGGAACAUAAAAUGGCUGAACGGGCAUAAGCAUAAGACUAGUAAAGUCUUUUGCUUUAAGCCCUGAGAUAUAUUAUACAGAUUGCAUGUAUUAUUUAUUUUAAUUAGUUUAGAAAGGUAUCAUCUUAAAGUUCGCUUUACACUCAAAUAUAUACUGUAAUAUUGUCCCCGAAAAUGACUAAUUUAAGUUACAUUGAUACAUUCCACUCCAUCACUUGCAUUUUCAUGGGUAAUAUCCUCUUGAUCUACAACUCUUUCAUGAUUGCUCCAAUUGAAAAUUAUAGAUCUCUUUCAUUAUUGUUACAAUUAACAAGGCUAUGUGUUACUUACAUUAUACAUCUCCUUUUAUUUCAUUUCUUUCAAUUAUGUUAACACGAAUCGAAUCAUGGUCCUUACUAUGGUCUUUACAUGUCCUCUUAACUUGUAAUAAUCAUUUCAAAUUUAAAGUAAUUGACAAUUUUAUGAUUGAUUUUCAUCAACCUGUGAUAUAGUAUAGGCUGCUGAGAACAAACAAACAAAAAAAUGGUGAAGAUUUGUUGCAUUGGAGCUGGCUAUGUUGGUGGCCCAACCAUGGCUGUGAUAGCCGUGAAGUGUCCCAAAAUUGAAGUAGUUGUAGUGGACAUUGCCGCGCCGCGAAUCGCCGCCUGGAACAGCGACCAUCUCCCAAUCUAUGAGCCUGGUCUUGAUGAGGUAGUAAAGCAAUGUAGGGGAAAGAACCUCUUCUUCAGCACUGAUGUGGAGAAACAUGUUUCAGAAGCUGAUAUAGUUUUUGUCUCAGUAAACACUCCAACAAAGACUCAAGGCCUUGGAGCAGGAAAAGCAGCUGAUUUAACAUAUUGGGAGAGUGCAGCUAGAAUGAUAGCUGAUGUUUCAAAAUCAGAUAAAAUUGUUGUUGAGAAAUCUACUGUCCCUGUGAAAACAGCAGAGGCAAUUGAAAGGAUCCUGACCCAUAAUAAUAAGGGUAUCAAUUUCACUAUCCUUUCAAACCCAGAAUUUCUUGCUGAGGGUACAGCAAUUAAGGAUCUUUUCAACCCAGACAGAGUUCUUAUUGGAGGAAGGGAGACCCCACAAGGCCAAAAGGCUAUAGAAUCUCUUAGAGAUGUUUAUGCUCAUUGGGUCCCAAUAGAUAGAAUCCUUUGCACCAAUUUAUGGUCUGCUGAACUAUCAAAGCUUGCUGCCAAUGCCUUCUUAGCACAGAGAAUCUCUUCAGUUAAUGCUAUGUCAGCACUUUGUGAGGCAACUGGUGCUGAUGUCUCUCAGGUACUUAGGGGCCAACCUAUUUCCAUUAUUUGAACAUUAGAUUUUGAUAAUUUUAUGAGUGAUUCAAAUUGCUGAGUGCAUCAUGUGAUUGCGGCCGUAACAUUUGACUGCCGCAACUACAUCACACCGCAAUUGCAAUGUGACAUCAAAUCACAAUGAUGCGGCCGCAUCAGGCCUCAACGCAACCGCAUCGGACCAUAUUUGGGCUGCAUCAAACUGCAAUACAACCACAUCCGUCGCAUCAACUGUAUCAAUUUCAAAAGCAUCUUUUUACUCAUAAUAAUUCACACCAUAGCGGGUGCAAUCCGCAUCGCAAUGACCGCAAUUACGACAACAACCACAAUUUGAAAUAAUGACAAAUGAACUUAUAUUUGUACCUUGCUUACUUUUUUAUUAUCUUUUAUAUAUACACUCACUUAAAAAAUGUCUCUCAAAAAUUAAAUAGACAAUAUAUGUUGCCCGAUGUACAAAACAAAAAACACAAUUCAAAGAACAAAAAUGUGUGUGCUUGUAUAUAUUUGACCACUUUCUAAUAAUGUUUUUGGGUAUGUUGUUGUAUGCAGGUAUCCCACUCAAUUGGCACAGACUCAAGGAUUGGACCAAAGUUCUUGAGUGCUAGUGUUGGCUUUGGUGGCUCUUGCUUUCAGAAGGACAUAUUGAACUUGGUAUAUAUAUGUGAAUGUAAUGGUCUUCCUGAGGUAGCAAAUUAUUGGAAGCAAGUGGUUAAGGUGAAUGACUACCAGAAAAGCCGAUUCGUGAACCGAGUAGUUUCCUCAAUGUUCAACACAGUUUCAACUAAGAAGAUUGCUAUACUUGGUUUUGCUUUCAAGAAAGACACAGGUGACACUAGGGAAACACCAGCAAUUGAUGUGUGCAAAGGGUUAUUAGGGGACAAAGCUAAGUUGAGCAUAUAUGACCCUCAAGUUACUGAGAAUCAGAUCACAAAGGAUUUAUCAAUGAAGAAAUAUGAUUGGGACCACCCUGCUCAUCUUCAACCACCAAGCCCAACUUCUAAAAAGGAAGUGUCUGUGGUUUUUGAUGCAUAUGAGGCAGUAAAAGAUGCACAUGGUGUUUGCAUUCUCACUGAGUGGGAUGAGUUUAAGAACCUUGAUUACCAAAAAGUUUUUGAUAACAUGCAGAAGCCAGCAUUUAUAUUUGAUGGCAGAAAUGUUGUGGAUGUUAAGAAGCUUAGGGAAAUUGGGUUUAUAGUUUUUUCCAUUGGGAAACCACUAGAUUCAUGGCUCAAGGACAUGCCUGCAGUGGCAUAAGGGGAAGCAGAAUAUGAAGAGUGUCCAAUUUUUAUUCGUAUAAUUUCAUUACUUAUGAUGUUGUCUUUUAUACUAGUUUUUGUUUGAUGAGAUUUUGUGGCAUGGCUCAAGGAAAUGUUGUCUUUUUUUGCCAGCUGAAACUCGUUUUUCUUGUACUGCCUUUAUGUUAUGAAUAAAUAAUUGAGGAGAUUUUGUACCAUGAAUAACAUUUCGUAUGUUUUUAUUUACUACUUUAUGAGAUUUCUAAUGUUUUUAUUGACAUUCAUAAUUGCUAUACUAUCAACAUUAUGCAUUUUAAUAAAAUUUGAUACCUCUAUACAACUGAAUCAUGAAAGUAAUUGAACCUCAAUUUUGAGAAAUAGACAAAAGAAGAAUACCAUGAAGAAUAGUGUAUUCUUUUAUUGAAUUGAAUUAAAAGAAUAAUACAAGAUGAAAUACCCUUAUUUAUACAUAAUAGUCAAUCCAAGGUCUUAACCAACUAACUUUGUUUUCACAUAUUUAUUAUGUGCUUAAUUUGAGAAGAAUGAAAAUUACAAGUGUUCUUGUAUUGCAAGCAAAGUCUUUCUACAUGUGCAUUUCCUCGCCGAGGCAUAGUGACCUUAACCCGGUCAUGAUUCCUAACCGAGGCUUUUCUAGGCUAGGCUUACUUGACCGAGGCCUGUUGAAGUUGGCAUGGUCACCGAUCUACUUGUCUCGAUCAAUGUCUUGGCCAGACAACUAGCACGGUCAUGGACGAGGCUUGGCCUCGCCUUGGCGCACCAGUGCUGAUCCUUUGUCCAUUAGUAUAGAAACUUGGCACAUAACCACAAGGACUUUACACAUCAUUGCAGGGACUUGGCACAUAACUUGGUGCAACACUAGAUGGACUUGGCUCAUGAGUUGGUGCAUCAUUAGUUAAUUUUGGCACAUCAGUACUUGGCCUUGGUGCUAGUUUUGGCGCACGAGUAGGAUUAGUCCUUACAUGCUUUGGUACAUCAUAAUUCUCAUUCAUUCUCAAUCAUUAAUGACUUUUCAAAACAAAAAACUAAUCCAAAUGAAGCCUGAAUGAUGCAAUAGCUGAUGGUAUAUAAACCUUUAUACCAUCAGUACGUAAAUAUUACACAUAAUUACACUCAAAUAAUUAUGUGUAUUUUUAGAAGAAUUAUAUGAGGUUAAACCUAAAGAAAAUUGUUCAAGAAGUUCUACUUUUACACUAAUAUAUAAUUAUGGGUGAGUUGGGUUGAAGGCUCACCUCAACCAACAUUGUCUUAUUAUUUAAAGAGCGUAGUCAUGAUAAACAUCUAAAUGUCUAAUUACGUGUAUACAUUUGACAUGAAUAAAAAUCACUUACUUAACUUAAUUUUGAUUUUUUUCAAGAAUCAAAUUGGACAAAAGAUAAUGAUAAAAUUGCAAUUUUUUUAAAACAUGGGAAAAUAUUAAUUUAAUUAAAUCUGAUUUUUUUUUAUAAACAUGGGAAAAUGUUGUGAUUACAAAUCCUGGACCGGUUUGGGAUAUUCGAGGCCCAAUCCAAUAGAAGCAUCGCAACCCGUUUUUAUUUCGGAACAUCUCGUGUACAAAAAGCACGAACCGUACCUCGUUUUUCAUCGUCGUUUUCUUUCGAUUUCCCCCUUUCUAUCCUCAAAAUCUGUCUAAUUAGUGUGCACAAUUCUUGAAUCAAGCCUCAAUUCGUUCAAUUCUUGUUAUCUUCUUCCUUUUGAUCCUAAAAUCAACCCUUUGUUAUUCUUAUCGUAUUCUAGGGUUAGGGUUUCGAUCCGAUCUUUUCAGGGUCACAAUCUUCCUCUCCCCUUUUGUAUUCCGUCAAUUCUCGGAGUUUUUGUUCUUAUUCAUCCAUUAUUUUGCCCCAAUUUGACAUAUUAUUUGUACGCGAUUCCGAAUCUAGGGUUUUGAGUCAACCAAAAUUUUAGGUCUUUUCAAUCUUCGAAUCACUUUAGGGUUUCUGUAAAUUGUUUUAGGGCUUUGAUUCCUUCCUAUCUUUUAUGAACUUUUCACUUCCCUUCGGCUUUUAAUUUCACAAUUUCUUCUUCGAAUUUAGAAUAUAGGGUUAGGGUCUGAAAUUGAAAUUUUCAGUUACUGUCUGUUACAAUAGAGUUGGGGAUACAGUCUUAGGCGUCUCGAAACUUCCUUAAUUGUCCAAUUCCUUACCCAAUUUUCUCUAUUUUGACUUUUGGAAUUUCGUUUGACCUUCAACUGUUUGAAAAGGUAAGAAUUGUUUGUUAUCACUGAUUUUAAUUUGAAAGUUGAGAAUUGUUUGUUACACUGCUUUACUAUAAACUUUAAUGUUUUAACAGUAAGUGACAGUUUAUUAAUAUGUAAUAUGUUUGUGGCUAUGGAUUUAAAUUGCAUUUAUUUGCAUGUAGUUACUUAAAAUUUGUGCUUUUGACAUCCCGCUGUGCUUUUAAUGUGGUAGUGAAGUACAUUUUUUCACUGUCACAUGUGAAAGGAAAAUAUUUUUUUGGUGGGCCUUAGCCUCAUCCACGCUUCUCCUAAAUUUAACUGUAUACUUGGGUUCUAUGAGUUGAAUUUUGUUUUUUUCUGUCACAACUCUCACUUGUGGUGGACUUUUCAAAUUGAAACAUUUUAUAUUGAAAUUUGUUUUGCAUGGCUUACUUUGUUUUUCUCUAAUUAUGUCAAUUGGAAAAGCCACAAUGGUCAGGAUUUUCAGUCAAACUAAACUAAAAUGGUAUGCAUUUUAUUAUUGGUCCUUUUGUUAAUGCAGUGGGAUAUGGCAGUUUGGCCCAAUCAUUACGUUUUGUCAUUACAUUGGAGAUAAAAUUUUGUGGAAGUUUAAAGCUUUGUAAUGAUAUUAGAUAUCAAUGUUUUGGUAGUUUUUAGCAUGUAUGUUUAUUCUGCAUGAAGCACUUCCAAGUUCGGGGCGAUCUACUAUAAAUUAAAAGUGCAACCAAAGACAGCAUUGUAUCUUAUGUCUGUAUUUAUCUGAUGAGAUGUUGUUUGAGUAUUAAACUCUCGAUUAUUCUAACACAGAACAACAAUGGGAUAUAAGAGAUGUCUUGAGGUCAAUGAAUUUGGGGAUCUUUCUUUGAACAAGGCCAAACGUCUUGAAUCCAAUAAUGAUCUGGAUGCACUUAAUGUCAACCUGGUUGUGAAAAAUGUUGUUUCAGGUAAAUGUUUUUAUGUAGUAUAUUGUAAUCUGUCUGCUCUUUUUCAAAUAGAGUCAGUUUAGCUAGCCAUUUCUCUCUCUGAAGUUUAUGUAUAAUAAAUAAUAUUCCCCAUUGAUUGUAAAGGUGGCAAUGAGGGUAGCUUUUACAAUAUUCAAUGGUAUGAUGCUAUUCAAGUGGGCACUGCCCUUCAUGCUCCUCCAGCUGUGGACAGUAAUGUUCAGAUCAGUGGUCACUUCAGCUGCUUUAGUGAGGAUGAUGCUGGGUCUGGGGCUACAUCUUUGUCAUCUGCCUCUUCAGAUUGUUUGGAAUUUGAAAUUCCUCAGAAAUCACAUCCUGCUUUAGAUGAUGCGUAUUCAGCCUCUGAUUGCUCACUCAGAAAACCAGUUCCUGUUGGUCCCAAUCAUCAAGCUGUCAUUCCUGCCUGGAGUGGAAAAUUGAAGAAGAUAUCAAAUUUGUGCAUAUAUAAUGAUUACAAUCCAUCCUCUGGUUUAGUAUCUGUUCGUCCUGCACAUGACAAUGAGGAGAGACUCAUGGGCACUUGUGUGCUUCCAAUGCCGGACUCUAGCCUUGACUAUUCUGCUAAGGGUAACAAGGGUGAGGAAGGCAGAUCAGAAUGCAACUGCUUGGAUCAGGGCGCUGUCAGAUGUGUUCGACAUCAUGUCAGGGAAGCCCGUGAAAAUAUGAAGAGGAGUCUUGGGAUGGAAAACUUUGUGAACUUGGGCUUUUGUGACAUGGGAGAGGAUGUUGCACUCAAAUGGAGUGAAGAAGAAGGAGAGUUUUUUCAUGAGGUUAUCUACAGCAAUCCUGCUUCAGUGGGAAGAAAUUUUUGGAAGCAUUUAUCAGCAGCAUUCCCUGCUCGAACCAAUAAAGAAAUUGUCAGCUACUACUUUAAUGUGUUUAUACUCCGGAGAAGGGCUGCUCAGAACAGAUCCAGAUUUUUGGAUAUUGACAGUGAUGAUGAUGAAUGUCAUACAAGUAACCCACAGUUUUAUAGUUAUGAAAAUUCAGAGGAUGACUCUGGCCUCGAGUCUCUUGGUCACAGUCAAAACCAGGAUUAUUCUGAUGCAGAUGACGAUGAUGGAAAUAGUGAUGAUGACGACGAAUUUGCUCGGUAUAAUAUGGGAAACAUCAACAAGGAAGAGGGUGGGAUUAAUCAAAGGUCCUCAGAAUCUAAGUCCAACUCACAGAUUGAGAGUUGGAGUUAUCCUAUUCAGCAUCUUGAUGGAAGUCAAGGAAUCUGCAAGGACAACCUUGGUGCCAAGGAUAAUUCUUGCACGUCCUUUGAGCGCGACGCCGAUAUGGACAUAUCCUGUUCUCAUGGUUUGGUAGAUGCUAGCUCUGCUUUGCAAGGCAGGGAAUUCAAAUGUGACCAGAGUCCAUGCAUGCCUAGCAAACAUGAUUUAUCUAGCCAUGAGAUGGAUGAUGUUUAUUUAUUGGAGCCUGGCAAUGCUAAAGAUUGGUAUCCUGGGUACUCAACAUGUCUGGAUACAAAUGUAGAUUUCUUACCUACUUUCAAUUUGAUAGAAGAGUUUUUUGGCCUUGGUACUCCAGAUAGAAAGACCAGAAGCGAUUGAGGCUAUUACGUUUAUUUCUGUUUUAUUUAUUUUCCUUUACAUCAGAGUAGAGGCUGCUACGUUUUUUCUUGUUUGUAAUUUGUAUAUAGGUGAAGUGAACCUCACCAUCAUCCCCAAAAAUAUUGGGGUUUCCCGUUUCUUUUUACCUCCCCUCGAUCUGUUAUAUAAUGUGAGGAAGAGCUUGAAUUGAAUAUUAUCUCAUAUUCUUGUGUAUUUUUUGUAACAGUACUACACUUGUCCCCUAGCAUUUUUUCCUGGUAUAUGUAAGGUACUCCUUUUCCUAAAGUUAAGGAAUUAAUCUGGUGCGUGUCUACUAAUCUUUUGUAUCUGGUAUACUAUUAUACCAAACCAUCUUUUGUACUAUGCUCUUAUCUUCUCAUGUCAUGUGCCAUAUAUAAUUACAUAUAGGAUCAUCCUUGGUUAUUUUACUCUUUCGGCUAGCAUUUUGAUUAAAAGGAUUCAGAAGGGGCAAAAUAAAGUUUCUCAUUCGUUUUAAAGUGGGAUGCCUAGAAAAAACGUGAAGCGAACGUGUCUUGCAUGUUUCCUAAUUCAGCAUGUGCCUUUAUCUUGUCUUAGGAAGUUCCAAUUCGAUCUAAUGGGCGAGAUAUGAAUGUUGUGUAAUGUGACCAAAUCCCUUUACAUAUAGUAACUUCACCCUCUUGGUAAAGGAGCCUGCUAACAUUCUCUCCACUAGCUUUGGAGGAUAAAUCCUCAAACAACUUUCAACCAUUUAUUUAUUCAUAUGAUAAUAGAUGUCUGAGAUUAAAACUGGCAACCUUAGAAAGAGAAAGUAAAUGUAUCAAACAAUUCAUUAUCAACCAACAGGUGUUUCGCCUUAAGCAAGGUAUCGGGUUCGAGUCUUGUGAAUGGAAAAAAUGUCCGCCGGGAGAGUUAGCCCCACGUACUUGUGAAUGUUCCCGACUCAGACAUGAUUGUUUCCAGUCCGAAGAUACAUGUGGAAAACUAAAAACAAUUCAUUAUCACUGCAUAAUUAAUGGCAUUUUUUGUAAGACUUAUUGAAGGGUGAAUUGGCAGCAAAGAAAAAAGAACUGAAAGGUUAAUAGACCAUAAAAUAGGAGGGUCUGCCAGAAACAUCCAUGAAAGGAGGGGAGAAGAAUAAUCACUAUAGAAACUUGAUAGAAGAUGACAGUGUAUGUAAGUGUUUACCCUUUAUGAGAAUUUAUAGAUGUUGAAGAAGGUGAUGGUGUUGAAGUUUUCCUUAGUUCCUGUGUAUGAUUUAAACCUAUAGAUUAAUGAACAUUUUCAAAACUACAAGAAAUUCAUCAAGCUUUCUUCAUUUUUUGAGUUCUAGGAGCUUCUUCAUUACCUUCCUAAUAAAUGAUAAAGACUCAACAUGGUUUCAAAUAAAACGAGAGGUUAAAAGAAGCAACAGAAAAAAAUUAUGUGCUGGGGGUAAAUAAAAUAUGGUUUCAUAUAAAGCUAUGGUUAUUUUAAAAUUUUAUUUUAUUACAUACAAAAACAAAUUAUUAAUUAAUUAUAACUUGCUCUCAUAAAUUCAAUAUUUUUUUAACUUCAUGAAAAAAUGAUAGUUUAUUAUAGCUUAGACAAUGAUAAAAUGUUGGAACUAAGAACAAAGGAACCUAAUCUUACAGACCUAUCCCUAAUAGUUUGGGGACCAAAUUACAUGGUGGAGUUUUAACUUUUAACUAUUUCUAGUUUGUUAGGAAAUAGUUUCCAAGCCAAUAUGAAAUUCAGAAGCUGAUCCUUUUGAAUCACCCCCUUUUCCAAUUUUCCUCCUAUAAUUCUCAUUUUCCCAUGAUAAUGGUGCAAUACGUAUGGAGUUAUUAACUAAGUAAACAAGUACCUUUCUUUUCAUCUCAUAGUUUCGAUGACUAUAGGGAUUGGACUAUGUUAAAACACUACUCUCUCAUUUUUUGCCAAAUAAAUAUAUAACAAUUGAAUAAGUUAUACGAUCCUCCUUGAAUAUACUUAUUGAUACCAAUCUAGGAUGAAAGGAAGAACCUAAAAAAUAUAAAGAUAGCAUGUGAUAUCUCCCAACCUAAUUUAUCUUUCUAUUUUCUUCCACCAAUAAUUUGUCUUAGAUAAAUUUGAAGUCAAAAUCUUUUAGACAGAUAGAGAUUAUAAGAAUAAAUAAUAACUUCAACUUUUUUUAUCUUAAUAUCUAACUUCUAAUACCAUCUUUAAAAAAUUCAACUGCAUUUUGUUGCUAUUUUCACUUCUAAUUUAAUCCACAUAUAAAAUUGAUAUAUAAACAGUCUAAUUAUUUUUAAUUUAUUAAAGCAUCUUUCCGCCCGAGUGAAUUGCACAAACGGAAAUAACUUUUAUAGUGUUUUUAUUUAAGCCUUGUAAUUAUUUUUUACUACCAACUUUAAUAAACGUUUAAGAUAUUAUAAACUAAUUUGAUAGGAGUAUAUUUUAGAAAUUGGGUAUUAAAAUGGAUAUUUAGCACUUGAGUAAUGUCAGCAAAUCUCACAUCCAACUUCAAUCAAUUAUCAAUAAAUUAAAGAGAAUGGGCAUAGUUUCCUAAUAUUUGCUAUAUUUCAUAAUCUAAUUUCCUUGUGUCUUCCAAGGCAUGACAUAGAUAAAUCAGCCAAAUGACACAAAAAACUAAAAAACAAGUUAAUAUGACUCAAGGGGUCAAUACACCAUUGAAAAGGAGCUCUAAUUGAUACCUUGUUCGAGAUUGUGACCUUUAACUUGUCUGUGCUUGAAAGCAAGAUUGAGAUUUCAUAUUUUUUGUGUAAUCUCUAACUUUUGUUAUGUUAAGUUGUUGUUAGGCAAUGCCUCUAGUCUUUAUUAUAAAGGUUUGUAGAUUAUUUAUCCUUUUUGUAAAAGUUGUGUGCUUAAAAGCAAGAUAAUCCAAAGAUAGUUUGGAUGUUGAUAUUUUGUUAUGCCAUGCAUAUCAAAUAUGUUACUCCCCAAGGUCUAGACUCUAUAGAAGUGGGAUAGAAACAUCCUAAUAAAAAAUCAUAUAGGUUGAUCUAGUGGUGAGUUGAAUAGAACAACAAUAAGUUCAUUUAGUGGUGUAAAGUUUUCUUAAAUUAUCAAAAAAAUCAAAAGCUUAAAAAUGCAAUUCAUGAGAAAGACUCUGUUGUAAUAAAUAACGAUACACCCAAAAAUAGAUUAAUUUUUUACCUAAAAAUUGGGAAAUAUAAUUGAUUGUAAAAAAAAAUAUUGAUAACAAUAAACUUAGAGAUUUCUUCUUGAGUCUUCACCUUUAUUCGUAGGUCAGACAAUAAAGCAACAUGUGAUCUCAUUAGCCAAAGAAUACAUGCUUUUGUAGGUGGGAAUACUUUGAUAACUAUCCUAACUUUUCAUUGAUAUACUCAUUUUUUUCAUUAAUGAAUUUCUUUUUUUCAAAAUAAAGGAUCCAACUUUGAUCAAAAUGUUUGGAAUCCAACUAUUUAUCAAUUAAAAUAUACUUCGCCAAGCUAAUUAUUUUAGGUACUACUCCAUUACUUAUCCUUUAAAUUAUUUAUUCACUUUAAUUAAUGAAUUUCACCUUAAAAAAAAUAAAACUUGAAACUAAAUGCUCAAGGAAUCCAACUAUCUAUCAAUUAAAAUAGACUUUGGUAGUGUAAAUUAAUUUAAGUACUAUAAGUGAUACUUUAAAUUAUUUAUUCACUCUCCUUAAUAAUUAGUAGUUGUAUUAGGCUUUUUAUUUUACCACAUUGUUAUUGAAUAAUUUAAAUUAUUUCUAAGGUUGAUAGUUCGAUUACCGAGAAUAACAGUUGCCUUGUUAGGAGAGGCAGAUACGAAUCCUAAAAAUGAUUAGUUCCUUACCAAAAAAUACGAGGGAAUACUAUUGGUAUUACAAGGAAAAAAAAUGAUAGUUGGGGUUGCACAAUUGUGUUCAGAGAGACUCAUCUCAAACUUGAGCUUCACUACAUAAGUGUGAUUUUUCUUGCAAAAAAACAUACUAGUUUACACUCCAUAAUUAAUCAAUUUUCUAAUGUAAAUAUGUGAUUUUUUUGGCUAGAGGCUCACUCAGAUUUAAAUCAGAUUGGACCGUAUCAAAAAUAUUUUAUGAUGAAUUGAAAAAAGAUUUUGAUAUGCAUAAAUCCACUGAUAUAUCAGGUGGGCUCAAAAUGAAACCAAUGGUUUCGGCCUAUUUUGUCAGCUCAAAGGCGAAUAGCAUCACUUAUCAAUUUAUUUUGUUACAUCAUUUUAUGCAUGGAAUUCUCCUUCAACUAAACACACGACACAAACGAGAGAUAAACCAAAGAAACAGUCAUGGUUUUUGCUCAUUCUUAUUCUUCAGGCCAUCACUAGUUGCAAGCAGAAACAAACCCCAAUUCUUCAAAAUUUGUUUUUUCUUCUUCUAUCCAAAACCACAUUAAAUUCUAUUGGGAAACGGAAAUUAAGGGGUCUAUCCCCUUUUCUGGGUCGGAUCUUGUAUUUGUAGAACUGUCACAUCUGAUGAUCAUUUUGAUUCUCUUCUGAUCAUCACUAUCUGCUGAAAAAGAAUUAAACUUUGUGAUCUCAAAUUUUAUCCCUUACUUCUCUUCUCUACUUUCACCAUUUGGGUUGUUGCUGCUGCUAUCAAUAGAGUUAUAGAGGUAUGUUUAUGAUAUAGAAAAUUUUCUUAUAUUUUUUUUGGUUUACUUUGUUGUGUACUUGAGUAUAUAAAUAUAUUUGGAUCAGAUAUUAAGAUUCAUUACAUCAUAUCAAUCCAAUGGAGGAGAAGAAGUUUGUGUGUAAGUAUUGCAGCAAGAGUUUUCCAUGUGGGAAGAGUCUAGGUGGUCACAUCAGGACUCAUAUGACUGAAGAAAGAAAUAAUAAGAAUGCUAAUGCUGAAUGUGAUGAUCUAAACUUGGAUGGUGUGAGAAUGAAGAAGAAGAGGGAUUUAUGGAGUGAAGCUGGUUAUGUCCUCAGAGAGAACCCCAAGAAAACAAUGAGGUUUGUGCAUUCCAAUGCUACUUUGGAACAACAAGAAGAGGAUGAGAAGUUCUGCAAAGAAUGUGGAAAAGGCUUUCCAUCAUUGAAAGCUCUUUGUGGCCACAUGGCUUGUCACUCUGAGAAACAGAAAAUGGUUAUGGAUAAUCAAUCUGAUACUGAGGAGAAUUGUGAUAUUCUGAAGCAUCCAAAGAGAUCCAAGAGAAUGAGGUUCAAAACCCUUAGCAAUAAUCAGACAUAUUCUUCUUCUGUUCCUUUGGCAAAUGGUUCUUCUUCUGUGUCAGAGGUAGAGCAGGAACAGGAAGAGGUUGCAAUGUGUUUGAUGUUGUUGUCCAAAGAUUCUAGCCAUAAGGGUCCUUUUGGUUUUGUUACUGAGUCUUCUGAAAACAACUCGGUUGUUGUAGAGGCAGCAAAAUCUUCAUCUGUUGAUAUGAGGGUAGGUGCAAAAAAUGGUAACAAGUUUGUCUCUAAUGGUUAUGAUCUUGUAGAGAAGGUUUCAAACGAUGAGUUUAAGUCUGAGUUUGAGGAUUACAAUGUUGAAUCAAGGAAGAUGCUGAGCAUGAAUAAAGGGAGAAGCAAAUGCGCUUUAACUGUACUCAAGAAGAAAUCAGUGAUGGGGAAUUUGGAUUAUGAUAGAAAUGAAGGAACUACAAGGAAGUUUGAUUCUAGAAAAACAACAAACUGUGAUUAUCAUGGUCAUAGCAAAAAGACAGAAAACAUGUUUGAUAGUGAUGAAAUCUAUGAGACUGGUAAAAAAGGAUGGAAUAAUGAGAGCUUGGCUUAUGAUUCAAUUGAUGAGAGUGAUGAAAACAGUUCAGACACUGAUUCUUUUCCUGCUCCAAAGUAUCAUAGCAGUAAGGUUUUGAAUGGAAAGAAGUGUAGCAAGGCCAAGAAGAAGUUGAAGUCAAAGAAAAGCAGAGAACAUGAGUGUCCAAUAUGCUACAAGAUUUUCAAGUCAGGCCAAGCCUUAGGAGGUCAUAAAAGAUCCCAUUUUGUUGGAGGUUCUAAAGAAAACACUGUGGUAAUCAACCAAGGUCCACGCCUUAUUGAUCUCAAUCUACCAGCUCCUGUUGAUGAAUAAGAAAAUGAGAAACCUUGGUUUUGCUUUGCAUCAUUUUGAAGCAUCUUCUGUUGAGGUACCUGAAUAUCUGGAAUUCUGAAAAAUGUUGUCUUUAUAUGAUGAAAAAAGCAAUUGCAAUGCACAGCCAAGUGGGUGGUAAAUGGUUUUUGUUCUUAGCUCCUUAUAUCUUUUAUUUGGUAGAAUGUAGUUGUUUCCUUUCAUGUUAAUAGAACAUGGCAAUUUGCUAGUGUCUCAGUUGAAAAUUUUGUUUCUUCCUUUGCUGCAAAUAAUACAUCCAUCUUCACCAAUUUAAUUAUUAUUGAGAAUAUUUGUCUUUCUGUUGUUUUUUCAUUUCUGGGGUUCUACAAUUUUUUAUCCUUAUGUAGAAAAAUAGUUUUAUGGCUUUAUUAAUUUAUGGCUGAUGCAUCUUAUCAGUGAUAAGCAGUGACCUAAAUAAUAGUGCUUCAUUUUCAACCCAACUUGAAUAUCUCAUUUCCUUUUUUCAAUAUGGUGAGUCCAUUAUGCUCAUUAUAUGAGUGGCUUCUAUGAGGAGGGUGUUAAUUUCCUUCACCAGAAAUUUAUGUUUAAUAUAAUUUUAUCCUUGGGCAUUGAAAAAGAGAAGUGGUUGCAUUUUCUCGAGGCUGAAGAUUUGACAAAGGUAAUUACUCUAGUUAGUAGAAGUGUAGAACUAUGAGGAAACAAAGUAACAAACUUUUAUUUUAUUUAAUAUAUUGAGAUAAAAAUGUGGGUUGAAGUGGUUGUAAGGUCUUCCUUUUACAACUGAAGAUAGCAAAGCUUAUAAUUGCUCCAUGUGUAUAUGUCUAACACAUAGUUCUAAUAGAAGGAUGAUUUGUGUGCCUUUUUCUAAUGCCAAUCACUGUAAGUUUUGUUUGGCUUGCUUGUUCAAUUCUUUUACCCAUUGGAAUGUAUGCGUGGACCACUGCUAUUAUGUUAGCUCUUGGUUUCAUGUGCCCACUCAAGACAACAUCUCAACAUGCUUUCAGGUAGAGUACAUAAAUCACUCACAUCUUACAAACUAUGUGUCAAUCUAUGUUUUAUAUCAAUGAUAAUUUUAUUUUAAUUUUUUUUCUAUUAUUCAUGUGGUAAUAUGAUUGGUCCGAGACGGAAAAUAAGACACUAUUAAAGACGGAUAAUUGUGUCUCAAUUUAUGUCUUCUACAAUCAAAAUGUUACGUUUUAAAAAAAAUUCUAUCUUUAUCCUUAGAUAGAUUCUAAAGGACACUCAAUAAUCAAACUGUCAAACACAACUCUCUAGAAUCAUAAAAGAAUAUAAUAAUCAAAGAUUGUAAACAUAUUUAUAAAUACUUGAGAUAUGAUUUCUUUUGGAGAAUUUUCACCUCUCCUGAUAGAGAUUGUAAAUAUAUGCAUACAAAAGAUGGUAACGUUUAAAAUGGGCCAUUUAGUACCAAAUAAUCCACCAUUUAGUUAUCUAAUUCUAUCAUUAAUCCAUGUUCUAUAAUCUAUAUUAUAAACCAUGUAUCAUAUUUAUCUUAAAUACAUAAUGUAAUAAUCAUGUAAGAAGUGAUAAAUCAUAUAUUCAAAUAAGCUCGUAUUUCUGCCAUACUAUAUAUUCAGUAUCAAUGGCCCACAGUAGACCAUCUCUAUGUUGCAAAAAUUAGAUGAAUGGUAAACAUUGAAACUAAAAGUGAAUGCCUUAUAAGCUAAUGAGACUAUUAUUGAUACAUGUAGUCUUUUUAUCUCAUAUAUGAUUAACACUUCCUAAUUAUAAGAAAUUUUUUAUAUUUUAAAAGUGAUUUUCUGAAGUUUUUUAUUUUUAAUAAAUAGAUAGAUAGUUAGUAUUAUUCUUGUAAAGUGAUAUUUUUUAUUUUAUUCCAUAUUGAGGUGACUUUCAUUAAACUAUGUUAACGUUUUUCAUCCGAAUUUAACAUUGACAAGAAUUAAGACUAAUAAAUGUAAGAACAAUUUCAAAACAUAUAAAUUUACAUUAAAAAUCAGUUAUGCAUUUGCUAUUUUAUCAUCAUUCAAACGUGAAAAUAAAUAGCAUUACAAUAUUAUGAUAUAAUAAAUGUAUAUAAAUCGAUUAAAAAAAAGUAAAAAUAAUAGCAUUUAUUUGCAAGAUUGGCAUGCUUACCCGGUAAGACACCAUCCUAUUGGCGGUUACACCUCACUCACCCUCCCUUCUCAUCAUUUCCUUCAUUUAUCACCUCCUUCUAACCUUAUAAACCAUUAUCUUCAUUUUCCACCCAAAAUCAAAUAUCUUAAUUAUUUUCCGACCUAAACUUACAGGUUUUUACCAAUAACAUCGUCUUUUUUAUUUUCAUGUCUUUUUUCUAUUCACUUUAUAUUUCGUUUUCUCGCGAUCUAUAAUUCAUAUCAUGGAUUCAAGUUCUCGUAUCUAUUUCAUUUAAAUAGUAUCAUUAAUUGCAAUUUUAUUUUCGUAUUGUGUUGGUUUGGUCUUAGAUUUGAAGGAUUAUUUUGAUUUUAAUCGAGUAGCGCUUUUUAGUUGGAUUACAAGUUUAGAAAAUGAGAUAAUGGUCUGUGUACUCGUUUUCUUGAGAAUAAAGUAUCACUAAUUGCCAAUUGGAAAAGAAGAGUGAAAUAAUUGUUAUUGGCUAAUGCCUGUGUUUAUUGUUUUUGAAAAGUAGGGUUUUAUUAAGGGUUAUAAAUAAAUUUUGUGAAGUUAUCUAUUUGUUCAUUGCUUCAUUAUAUUAGCUAGCUUAAAUUAUGUUUACUUACCUUCUGUAGUGGUGACUAUGACACAUGUUAAGCUGCUUUGAGCAAAUGGACCAGCAAUCAACACAAGUAUUAUUAUAUAGAGUAAAUUGCACUCACACCUCUCCGACCUGAUAUAGGUGUAAAGAAUGUCGGAGUGGUUUGUUUAGUUUCAUUAAGUCUCCGGGGGUGUGGGUGUAUUUACUCUAUUAUACAUCGUUGCCUCAUUAAAAAUAGGCAUGUUUAUAUUUGAGAUCUACUUCUGGAUUUGGAAAUUAUCUGAUAUGUUAUGUUUUUAUAGUCGAAAUGUCCAUGUUUCAGGAUUUAUAUUCUGAACAUUUUAUGUUUAGAAUUCACUUUCCUUGUUCAGUGGGAGAUGAAUAUAUUUUUGGUACUGAAUUCUUAGUAGUUGCUGACUUGCUGUUGUUAGAAUAUUUUCUUGGAUUUCAGUCUUCCCAGGUUGUGAUCUUGCAGUAUGAUCCUCAAAUUAAAAUGUUCAUGUAGGAUAUGAUCCUCAUUAGUUUUAUUAACUUAGAUUGGUUAUUUUUUAUAUUUCAGAGGAGGCAAGGUGCUUGAACUUCUGAAUUGUUGGUAAAAUGGUUUCGUUUGAGAUGAAUGAUAGAAAGAGUAAGUGAGAUAUUUGAUAUUUUAUUCUUAGAUCAAUGAUAAUGAUAUUAUAUGAAGUGAUCUACUUUCAUUAUUUUUUUAUGAUAGAUAAGUGAUGUCAUUUGUCUUUGGUGCUCAUGUGUGAGAAUAUAUUGUCAAGAUGCUUCAUAUUGAAGCCAAGGGAACUUAGAGGAAAUAAGAACAUAAUUUCCCACCAAAGUCUUUAAGCAAAAAGCUAGACAUGUUAGUCAUUUUCAUAAGUGAUGAUCCAUUUCUGUUGUCAAAAGUAACAAUCUCAAUUGUGAUAGUGGUUUUACCGAGUGCUGUAGUGAAAUUGAUUCUGUGAAAGUAAUAACAUCACCUAUUGGAAGUAAUUGUAAUCUACCAAUAAUGGAAUUGCUUUUCACAUUGUACAGUAUGGUAUCCAAACACAUAUUUUCUUAAGAUUCUCGGAAGAAGAAAAUUGUCCUAAGACAUAUACUGUUAGAUACAGAUUUCAAGACAUGUUUUGGUGCCUUUGUCUUCUUCUGUCAUUCUGGUUGGCAGAAGUAUGGUUUUGACUGAACUGUACUAAUUAUUUUUCACCUUACAGUUGGUAAUUUGGUAUAUACUUCUGUCCUAUUUGUCAACUUAUUGACAAUUUUAUGUUCUAAUUAUAUUUAAUGCAUGAUCCACAUGACAUGAUAUACGAUAGAUCAUUAUGGUGUUGUUCGAUCUAUGUAGCCGACCCUACCUAGUGGGGAGCAAGGCUUGAUUAUUGUUAUUAUAUUUAAUGUAUGUGUUUGGCCUAUUAUACAGAGAUUGGAUUAGGAUUAACUGGCUUUGGUGUAUUCUUCUCUUUCCUUGGGAUUGUCUUCUUCUUUGACAAGGGAUUGCUAGCCAUGGGAAAUGUAAGUUUAAGCUAUUACAGGUUUCUUGCUUAAGUAGUUGCUUCAUAUUUUGUUCUGCUUAAUAGCAUCUUUUCUGACACCUUGUUAACUUUUUGUGGCUCAAAUCAGAUCCUGUUUGUUUCUGGGGUGUCCUUAACCAUUGGGCUAAAAUCCACUAUGCAAUUCUUCAUGAAACGAAGUAAUUUCAAGGUAAGUUUUUACAUGUUUACUGUCUCUUUCAAUUAGUGUAAUGUGCUUUCUUCAUUGUAAAUAUUCUCCUCUCACCUUUCACCUUCCUUUUAGGGGACAAUCUCAUUUGGUAUUGGAUUCUUUAUUCUCAUCAUCGGGUGGCCUAUUCUAGGCAUGAUCGUUGAGGCUUAUGGGUUCAUCGUGCUAUUCAGGUUUAGUGGAAUUUGAAAGAAACUCUGGUUUUUACUUAUGUUUAUAUGUAUAAAACUAAUAAUGGAUUUAUACUAUGCAGUGGUUUCUGGCCUACACUGUCUGUUUUCAUACAGAAGGUUCCUGUACUUGGUUGGUUGUUUCAACAGCCAUUUGUCCGAUCGGUAUGUAUUUAUUUGUUAUGAAAUGGCUUUGCUUGUGUUCUUCACUGAAUCAUCUUAUUCAUUUACCAUUCUGGGUGAUACCAUAUCAAUAAUAUUUUUUCACUAAAGUCAUCAAGAAAUUAUUAGUUGCUCUGGUUCAUUGCGACAUCUUGGGUUUCAUUCAUAGAUGUAAAAGAUUGACAAAGGACAGCGAGUAAGCCCAACGAUUACAUAGCAUGUAAAUUGUAGUCUUGUAAUACUGAAGUUGGAUAAAGAGCUUUUAAAGUUAGAAACGUUUUCACUUGUUCAGUGAGGGCUAUAUGUAGAGGUACAAAUGAUGCAUCAGUUCCCUGAUAUCUAGGGAAGAGGUCCUGAACUCCUGAUACAUGUAUUCUGUUACAACUUUUGACCGUGUAGGACAAUGGAAGAAAAAUCUGAUGUUAGUAGUUGGUUCUAUGCAAGAAUGUUGAAUAUUAUGUGGAGGUUUUCCCACUCUUUUCUAGAAGUUGAAGCCUUUUUUAUUGAUGUACACAAUAUGCUGAAUUUCAAACUGAACUUGCUAAUUUUCUGUCAAUUUGCAGUUGUUUGACCGCUAUAGAGGCAGGAGAGUGCCUGUGUAACACAGGAAUCUAUGGAAGCCUUAUGUAUCUGCUAGCAAGCACAAUUGUAUAUGUAAAGAAAAUACUAUCAUUACGAGACCUAACUUCGAAAUGGGUUCGCAAUCUGAUGGUAGAAAAUGAUUUUCAUUUUAUCAUGAUAGUCAUGCAGUGCAAAGGAAACUGAAAAGGAAAGUGAUAAUCAUUUUACUACUUACUAUAUUGGUCCUUUGGUUCUAAUGGUUAGUGGAAAAUCAAUAGAUUUUGGGGGUUGCCUGUUCUGCUAUUCCGUUUUCAUUACUAUUCUAAUCAGACACCUUUGUGAUGCUUCACUGUGGAAUAUCACUGGGGAAUUUGUUCACACACUCUAUGAGUGUAAUGAUUUUUUUGGCGAUGUUAAUGCAGCAAUAUGAAACUGCUUUAUUUUUUAUCUUUUACCUUGUCAUCUAUACGAUUCUUUCAUUUCAGUCUACAAGAUGCUGAUUAUUUGAGUUAUAUGUUGAUUAUCCAUUAGUGUGGGAUUCGAUAUUGUUGCUUGAAACAAAUGGAAUCCUUUUAUUAAGGUACAAGAUGCUAACAUGGAAUGGAUAUAUAUACGAAAAGAAAUCAAUUUUUUAUAUUUCCAUUAACUUGUACUGUUAAAUUAGAAUAAAAACCCAAAUUUAUUUGUAAAGGAAAAAUACGAUUACUCGAAAUUUGAAAAAUAUCCAUUUAGUCCUCCAAACAUUAAAUUAAAAUUUGCAGAACAAGGACACUGUCAAUUAUAAAAAUGUGUAUUUGUCUCUCGAGUACUCUGAGUUUCUAUUUGUUCAAUAUAACAUAGUCCUGUACCAAAAACAAAUAUAGUCCAUUGUACACCCCAGUGUUCAUUACUUAUUAUUGUAUACUUUAAAUUAAGAACACCAGAACCAAAAGUUGCAUUAACAUUUGAUAAUUGAAUGGUCAUUGGUGAAGAAGUUUAACUAUUUGUUUUCCAAAGUUGCGACCACUGAAAAGUCCAACAAGAGCUGCUGGACCAUUUUCAAGUCCUUCAACAAUGUCUUCAACAUAUACUAUUUUCUUUUCUCUAAUGUAUGGCAGCACAGUAUCUAAGAGCUUUGGAUAUAGAUGAUGGUAAUCUCUGUGUGUAAACCCUUUUAUACUUAGUCUCUUGAAUGCAAUCUGCAUGAUAUUUUUUAGAGGUUCAGGCUCAGAAAGAUUGUACUGUGAAAUCAUUCCACACACAACAAUACGGCCAUGGAACUUCAUGUUUAAGAGCACUGCAUCAAGUAUUUUACCCCCAACUUGCUCAAAGUAGAGGUCAAUUCCAUCAGGGAAGCACCUAAUGACAGAUAAUACACCAAUAAUUAUGGUUGAAUGAGUUUUAAGACUUAGAGAGAGUAUUCUACAAGAAAAAGACAAUCAACUUAACACUUAAAAUGUAUAAGGUUGGGUGAGCCAUUUAGAAAUAACGAUAACUUAAAAAAAAAAAUACUUUGCACAAAUCCGUGCGGAAAUUUGUCUAUGACAAAUAAUUCCCACUUGGUAGGAGUCUUGCGCACUAGACCGGGCUGAAAAAUAAAUUCCCACCUAAUAAUUUCUCCAUUAGAUGUAUCCAAAAUUUCAACUAGAAUGGCUUUAUUUCACACACCAUAUUAAGAAUCCAAGAUUUGCCUUAAGCUGAAAUGUUAAGGAAAACUAUCUCUAGUCCCAUGUUAUAUAAUCUUUGCUGACCUUUUCAAAGCUGCAUCCAAAUCAGGCUCUUCCUUGUAAUUAAAAGCAUCAUCAAACCCAAGCUUGUUCUUUAGAAGAUCAACCUAGAUAAAUAUCAUGGGGCUAAGGACUCAGGUGCAUAUCUAGCAGAAGAUUGUACUAAGAAUGAUCAAAUUCUACGGAUCAUGUGAUGUUUAGGACAGAAAUUGUACCUUUUCUUUACUGCCUGCACUUCCAACAACAUAACAACCGAUCAAUUUCGCAAAUUGUCCAACCAACUGACCAACAGCACCGGUUGCUGCUGAGAUGAAGACACAUUCUCCUUUCUUUAGAGAACCAAUUUCAUAGAUAGCAGCAUAUGCAGUAAUACCAAGCAUGCCUAUUUAAAUACAAAACAAAAAACAUCACAAAAUAACCAAAAUUAAGUCAUAAUAAAUUUGUUUCUUUUAGCAUUUCAUUUAGAAUUAACACAACUAUGAUGAAAAUUGUUUCUAAGAAACUUAAUUACCAAGAAUUCCAGUGUAGUAGGAAAGGGGAACAUCAAUGUGGUGGAUUUUGUAGAGCCAAUUUGGUCUUUCAAUGAGACUAUAUUCUUCCCAACCAAUUGUCCCUCAAACUAAAUCACUUGCACUAAAAUUAGGAUUUCCUGAAUCCAGAACUUUGGCUACUCCAAAUCCGUCUAUAGGCUGCAAGGCGAAAACCAAAUGAAACAAGAGCAACAAAAUUCAACAUAAGCUCAAGAGUGAUUGAAGCAUCAUAAUAGUUUAUCAAAUUUAGUUUGGAGAAUGCAGAGAAAAUAAUGAACAUUAAAUAAAAAACAUGUUACAAACUUUCGGGUAGUUUAGUUGAAAUUCCUAUUAUUUUCUUGUAGAUUAAGAAUCUUUCCUUUUCUUGGCACAUAGCAGAUGUAAUAGGCUUUUAGUCUCAUAUCCUUAGCUUAAUCUGACCAAUCUCAUAAAAGGACUCUACUUUCUAUUCCCAUUUCCUUAUUUAGUUUUUUCUUAUUGAUAAAUUAGUCCCUGAAAUAUGUGAUCGGUUUUGCAUUAAUCUUUGGAGGGACCUUAUAGCAACCCCAUAAAGUGUAAAAGAAACACUGAGGGACUAAAGUAAACAUUUAUUUAUAUCCAAAGUGAAGAAGAUAUAAUUUACCAAAAAAAGUGAAGAUAUAUCAAUUUAAUCCAUAUCAAAACUUACUGAGCCAGGGGUGUAAUAGUCCGAAUGAUGUUUAUGGGCUUUCCUUAUUUGGAAUUGCAUGGUAGGAUCACAAGAAAGGUAAAUAUUCUUCACCAGAAUGGCAUUUGAUCCUUGAGGGACCUGAAACUUAAGGGUACUUAUUUUUAUGUACAUAUCAGAUUCUUUGGGGGAACCAGUAACAUAGUCCUUCAAUAUUACUUGCUUGUUUUGCACUUCCUCUCCAGUACUAUUAUUCUUUCCCAUUGUGAAUUGCCCUUCUCUGGUGUUAUUUUGAUGUUCUCUAUGGUCCUAAACCACAAUGGUUCUUUCUAUUUAUAGUUUACAAUCCACACCCUCUAUUAAGGAAAAAACAAAUAAAAUAAUUUUCAAGAAUUAUGAGUAUUAGAGUGUGACAUCUUUGCUUACGAAAACUUGGUUCAUGGUAUCUUCACUUAUAUGAAAAUGGGUUUGAAAAUUAAGAGGUGCAAUAAAAAAUGGGGAGGGAUCCAUUUACUCCAAGAAACUAGGUAAAUCCAAUGGUUCGAAUCAGUGAGUAGAUCUAAAUCAUUAGAUGACCAUAAAAUUUGAUGGUCAAGAUGAUGAGUAAGUUUAAAAUUUAGUGUUGGAAUAAGUGGAUCCCCACUCAUAAAAAAUAGGGAAAGAAUGUAAUGCUUGGUUUUGUUGCGUAUUAGAAUUUUAUAUUUAUAGGCAUCAGAUAGAGGGUGAUUUUUUGAAUGAGUAUGUGGAAGUGUGACUUGAAGUAUGCAGUUUUUUUUGGACUUGGUUCACUCCCAACAACAAAAAUGGACAUAUUGUGAUUCAUGACAUUGCCUUUUCUAGACUCCACAAGAAACCACUAGGGUGUUUUGUUUCAAUGUUACCCCUCCAACAAUAGCUUAUCCAAGUAUUCAAACUCAUGCAUAUUAGAGAACCAAAACACAAAUGUUCAAUUUUAUUAUUUAUUUUUCUAAGAAAUAUUUAUGUUGUUGCAAUGUAUGCUAUCAAUUAUUUGUAUAAUUUGUAAAUAUGUUUCUUCUUAUACUAUGUUCUUGAUGUUAUAAUUAGUUGUUAAUUUUAUUUCCCUUAUCAACAACAAAAAAUAUUGGUUAGCUACAAUUUUUGCCACCUAGAGUUAGAACAUAGUUGAUUUCUAGUACUUAGUUAGGACUACUGACUGUUUUAAAGAAUUUUAUGAGCAGGCUGUAAAACCUUGGUCAUAUUCAGAUUUGAUUAAUUUCCUGCAAAUGAGGAAUAUGAGAAGGCUGCAUUUUAAAGGGAUCCACGGCCAGGGUGUGGUGGCAACCACGACAGUGGAUCAGUACACGCAAUGAUAGGCAGCAAAUCACACCGGAUUAUGUUGGAGACACCACAAUCGUAGAUCGGAACAACACUGAGAUUUCUAAAUUAAUGAAAGUUAGUCAACAACUAAAUUGAUUGAUGGUGUGUAAAGUGAGGGUGAAAGUGAUGCUUCUAUAACGUGAAGAUCAAAUAGUCCGACGGUGUCAACCUUGGGGAAAAUCUAUUGUUCGACAAAGUAUAUCUUUCGAUGUGUCACUAAUUCUAAUUUAAGUUAAGAUUGAAAUUUAAUUUGAAUUUAAUUGAAAAGUUUAGAAUCAGAAUGCAUUACAAAAUGCUAUGAAGUUAAGAUUUACUCUCCCCAGGGCAACAAAAGCUCACAUAUUCUUUGCAUGGCUAUUCAAGAGAACUUAACCCCUUCUUCAGUUUUCAAGCGCUUGUGAACUUAAUUCUGAGAUAAGGAACAAGCUGAAUAUGCAAAAAAACUCAAUAUUUAACUAUUCAAGGCAAGACAACAGGUUCAAUUUGCCAUAUGUCUCUAGCAUAUUCAUGAAUAGUCCGGUCACUACUGAAUUUGUAUGAACCAGCUGUGUUCAAAAUUGACAUUCUUGUCCAUCUCUGCACCAACAACAACAGCAAAAUUUGAAUCGUUACAUGACAACCUUGAUACAACAACUAUUUGCAUAACUUGUCUCUCCAAUACUGGAGAUGAUUCUUUUCCCUUGCGGGUGUUGUAGAGAUAUGUCAUAAAUGAAUACCAUAUCAUUUCUUAUGUGCAUGAGAAAUUAAUGCAAAUUAAUUUGGACAAAGCUAUUAGGCUCAGAAACUUAUUUAAAUGUGACCAGAGAGGUAGUUAUUACUCACCUUUUGAUCACGAUAUGCCUCAUCAACUGCUUCUUGGGACUCCAAGUAGUUAGGGAAGUCCUUGCCAACAAGGAAAUAAUCAGCACGACCAUACCCUUCAUUUCCUUCCAAUGACCCCAUCAAUUCUUCAUAGUUGUAAGGGCCAAAAACACCACUUCUAACAUAUGCCUUCACUUCUUCAAACCUUGGGUCUGAUACAAACUGCAUUUACAUUAAGGAACAUACCAUAAAAGUUGUUAUUAUUAUGAUAACUCCACUGGGUCUAUGUUAAGACAUAAAUAACAAUGGCUUAAUGGAUCUAUAGAAGCCAAAUUUUAUGACUCUAAAACUUAUUAUUUUUAUGAUAUCCAGAACUUAAGCUAAUACAUAAUAUGGGAAUUCAUGUCAUGAUUUCAUUGCUGAGAUUAGAAAGGUGAGCUAGCUUAAGGUUUUUUAGUAACUAGGAUUUACAUUUAUUUUCACCAAAUGCUGUUUUAUGUUUUCUGGUUUAAUUUGAAACUUACCUUUCCCUCAGCUCUUUCUUUCCGCAGCCCAGCGAUCUCGUUAGCUUUUGCACCAAAAAGAAAGAAGUUAUCUUCUCCAACCUCUUCUCUUAUUUCAACAUUAGCACCAUCAAGGGUUCCAAUAAGUACACAUCCAUUCAUUGCAAAUUUCAUGUUGCUUGUUCCACUAGCCUCCAUUCCAGCAGUGCUAAACAUGAGACAAAAAGAAAAAGAAGAGUAAAACAAAAACUGAUAGCAUAGAUGACAAUAUCAGGUUUAGAAAAUGAAUUCAAUUAGGAAUUACAAGAAUAUAAAUCAACUAAUCUAAUUGCAAACCAAAAUUAAACUAUUUUGAGAUUAAAAAAUUAACUUAAAAGAAAAGUACCUGAUGUGCUGGGACAACUCACUGCCAGGAAUCAGCACUUCAGCAACACUGACAUUGUAAUCAGGGACAAAUACAACCUACAGAUUAAGAUAAAGACCGAGAGUCCGAGAUUAAUUCUAUGACUUUGUAUUAGAACAGAAGGGGUUAGUUUAAUGGCCUUCACCAUAUUAAUUUUAGCAUUUCCUUGUAGUAAACCUCCUCAGAAUUUUCAGCCAGCAUCCUAUACUUUUAUUUUGGAAGGGGGAUAUUUCUAGAUUCUGCAUUUUGGUUAUAAUCAAGUCUGAAGGAUGAGCAUGAAGCUGUGAAUUACUUAGUGCAUUUUAGCUGAAAUAUUGAAGUAUUUAACUGUACCAUUUUCUAGUUAAAUUUUUGAGUUAGAGUUGAACCAAAUUCUCUGGAUUAUAGCAUAUAGAACAUAUUUUUUUGUCACAAAGGAGGUCUAAGACCUGGUGCUACAUGAAAUAAAGCAUUUAGAUUUGUGUUCAUCCCCAUCAUUAGGCACAGGCAACAAAAAUCUUGGCAUGACUAUCAUGGUCAUGUGCUAUGUGCAGCUACUGAUCACCCAAGUUGUAUGAUACCUUCAAAAGAUCUCCAAUCUCUGGAUCAUGAUUGACUGUAGCUCCUACAUCUGUGAUGAACUUUACUAUCCUCUUGGCUUGAACAUAUGUUGCAAAUGCUUUCCCCCCGAAAAUACAAACCCGAGGAACAAACUUUUGUUUUCUAUCUUCGGCACUCAAUUCUUUCAUCUUUUUGUAGCGAUAAACAAUUCCCAAGAUAUUCAGUAAUUGCCGCUUAUAUUCAUGAAUUCGCUUCACCUGAAAAUGAAUAGUACUUUCUUAAACCAAACUAGAUGCAAAUGGAAGUUAGUCCCUCCUUUAAUAAAAAUGUUAUCUGAGACAGAAAAAUUAAUGUAUGUGCUUCAUGGCUGAAAAACAACCUGUACAUCAAACAUUGCAUUUGGAUUGACAACAUAACCAGUUUUCUCUUUGAGAAAUGAUGCAACCUUAAUCUUGUUUCUUUUUUUGGAUUCCAUCCACUCCAAUUGUAGAUCCUCAUUAUCUGCAAACUGUUAAAAGAUAUGCUCAAGUUAUAAAAAAACCAUAAAAAUUGUCUAGUGACAUUUGAUUAAUGAGUCACUUAUCAAGUUAUGAAUAUGACCAGUCUUGCACAUAUAUAGUAUACAUAAAAAUUACCUUAUUCAAAUAGUACUCGUAGCUUAGCUAAAUUAAUUUACCUUGCGAAGUACAGCCAAUUUCUCAAGAUCUGUUACCCAAUCAUCUGUUCCAAUCCAUUGGGUUAUGAUGUUACUAAGAUCAGGAUUACAAAAACGGAUCCAUCUUCUAGGGGUCACCCCAUUUGUUUUAUUCUGGAAUUUCUCUGGCCACAACUGUCAAUAGUUAAAUAAUAGAUAGAUUUAAUGAGCAUUUUUCUGGAUUCACAUAUAGGGAUCCAUAUGAGCAAUUGUUCAUGAAAAUACAGAAACAUUCUGCUGCUAUUCUCACCUUGUAAAAUUCAUCAAAAACUUCAUCUUUCACAAUCUCACUAUGAAUCUUAGCUACUCCAUUGACAGAAAGUCCACCAACAACACAAAGAUUAGCCAUGCGAACCAUCCUUGGCAGGUUCGGAUCAACUUUGAAUGUCCACUCCGUUUUCUUGUCAGCAUCCUCCCUAGUAAAAUUGUCAUAUUCUUCUUGUUCCUCUUCCCCAGCUUCAUCAUCUUCUUUAUCUUUUGUUGCCUUUAUAUCAUUAUCAUCAAGACCAAUUUCUUUCACAUUCUCAGAGGCAGGAACCUUCUUUAAAUUAUUAAGCAGCUCUAUCACUGAGUUGGGUAACUCAAUAUUUUCUAGUAUUCUCAUCUUUCUAAGCUUUUGUUGUAACAAGUCAAGAUCAUCUAUCCCAUACUUGGAAACAAUUUCAUGUAUGAACUGAUUGACAAAACAUAAAUACAUGGCAUUAGAUACAGAUAACAUUUCAAAAGGAAGAAUGAAAAACAUGGUUGGGAAAAUGAACCAAGAACUAUAUAUAACAUGAUAAUUUGAACAUCAAAUCCACACAAGUUCUAAACCAUUACCUCCUCAUCUAUUCUUCUUAUUAUCUCCACAUGUCGAGGAAGCAAAUCCUGAAGAAGUGUCAAACUCCAUUUCUCUAGCGCUUCCGGCAGAACUGUGUGGUUUGUGUAAGCAACCGUUCUAACAGAAGAGCCAUUGAAAGAGGGAUCAGACUGUGUAUAAAGAUCAAAGUUAAAUAGGAAAGUAACACUACAAAAGAAUACAUAUUGUGGCAGAAGGAAUCUUGUACCAAGUGAUUGCAGUGAAAAAUAAACAACGAACAUCAGAACAAAAGAAUACAUGUUAUCAUUACCCAAAAAAUAUCCUCAAACAAGUAAACAAUAUUUUAAAAUACUAACUCUUCGUAUCGUCUCAAAGUCCCAUUCCCGUUUGUGAUUUGGGUUUCGGAUGAAAAGAAAGAGAAAUUGAAGGAUUCGGAGACAUCUCACAAGUAUAUCUCAUAGUUUUGAAGCCUUUCAUUUUCUUUCAUUCCCCUCCAAAACUCAACUUGCAAAGGACCAAUGGCCUUUGGACUAAAGUGUGGACAAAGCACAUAUCCAUUUUACUUUGUGCCAAAAUUCAAUUUAAUGGAUACGAAGGACUGAACUUUGAGGCUUUAAGACUUUAUUAAAACCAACUCUACUAGAAGUUUGAGUUAUUAGUUGAAGGUCUAAUAAUGACUUUAUAUCCUUUUAAUAAAGAACUGAAUAAACAGAAGGUGUUAAAUGAUGUACCUUUUGGUAAUAUCCCAAGCUUUUUCCCAGCUUAAACCCUUUACAUCCAUCAAUAUCCUAAUCAGUUCAGGAAUGCAGAGUGUUGGGUGAGUAUCAUUCAUUUGAACCACCACUUUUUCUGGAAAAGUGUCCCAGUUUACUGUAUUUCCUGAUCUCUUUUCAAAGCGUGCAAAAAUAUCCUGGAGAGAUGCAGAGCAUAAUGUAUAUUGUUGCUUCAAUCGCAGUACCUUUCCUUCUAAGGAUUCAUCCCCAGGGUACAACACAUAGCAAACCUGUUUGCAAUGUAACAUAAAAAAUGAGAAUCAAUAGUGAUUCAUGCAAAUUGUCCACUUAACUUAAAUAUUAUAAAUGCAAAUAAACGUUUCUAACUAUUGGUGGAUGAGAAGGAUGAUCCAUCAUAAUUUAUUUGUGGGCAACUGGCAUAUAUAACCUUUCAUUAUACCUCUAUAAAAUUUAACAAGGGCACUAAACUUGGGUGCAAAAGUAUCAUAAUUACAACAUUCUAAAUGUUAAAAAGAGAAGGACUAAAUAUUCAAGUUCAUAACUGACAAAAAAUAUGUGACCCCUAUUUUAAUCGCUGGACAAUGACAAAUUUUAAUUUGAUAUUUAAGUAUGACAAAUUUCGGUCAAAAUAGUCCAUAGUAGAAUCUAAUGUGUCCCUAAAAUUUGUCGACCGACAUUAUAGAUUCUUAAGGAUCAAAUUGCUCAUUUUCCAAUACUAAAUUAUGAGAAGUAAUUUUUUGGGUCGAAUUUGGGUAUUUAGUAAUAAAGGAGUAUCGAAAUACUUUCUCUGCAUUUUUCAUGGCAGCAUAUGCUUUGGCAUGAUCUCCAGUAUUGAAAGCUUGCAAAUCAAAUUCAGCUGGUGAAACUUUAGUGGACCACAACCGCAGGUUAAUAGUUGUUCUAGUUUUGUAUCCAGGUAUUGGAACAUCAUAAGCAACAGCUAAUAUAUUUUCUCCUCCAAUCCACUGUUUAGUUCCAUUUGGCCCUGAAAUAACUUCUCCAUAGAACUUAACUGGAUAUGAGACAUCAUUUCUCAGAAUUUCCCAAGGAUUUCCCUUCUGUAAAGAGACACUUCAGUCAGUAAAAAAAACUUGUAACUUGCUCAUAGGGAUAGCCUUGCAAAGCACGCAUAGAUAGGCAAUAAAAGAAUUAAAGAACCAUGCAUGCCUCCCUAAUAAGAAAAACAGCUUCAAGCUAUUAACUAUAUUGAUGCAUAUAAAUAACAAUAGAGAUCUGCUGGGAAUCGUGUCCCAUGCAAACGUAUGAGACAUGAUCUGGGACAACAGAAUAAUACCUCAAGCCAGUUUUCAGCUUCUUCCUCCUGACCAUCCUUUGUUAUAAGCUGUUUGAAUAAACCAUACUUGUAUCUAAGUCCAUAACCCCAUGCAGGGUAAUUAAGUGUUGCCAAUGAGUCCAAAAAGCAAGAAGCAAGUCUACCUAAUCCACCAUUCCCAAGGGCAGCAUCUGGUUCCUGAAAAUUUUAUAUGAAUCUGCUUUUAAAUAAGCUCUAAUUAAUUGUUCACUAUGUCUUUAAUUCUAUUAUUUGACUCAUAAGGAUUAUGUGGCUCUUUUAGUAGUAUGUUUCCAUGCAAGAUGAAUACUUUUUUAUUGAUAACGUACUUUCUCAUUCCCUAAAAAAGAUUCAUUUCAGAGUCUCGGGAAUCAAAUAUGAACCUUUUCCUUAUUGUCCAGAGAAAUCCUAGCUUAUUAGUAGCAAUCAAAGACAUACCAGAUAAUUUAGAAACUAAACUACAAUUGGUGUCCAACACCUAUUAACUAAACUACUACUAAGGUCAGUUCAAAACAAAAGCUUCUAGAUUUUGGGAGGUAUACAUUGGUGAUGAUAAAACACACUAAGAAGCUAUGUGGCAAACACAUUAUCUCCAUAGCCUUCUACAUGACUAUCUCAUAACUUGGCUUAGUUCGAAAAAUAACGUUCCGCAUAUACUACAAAAAUAUGCAAUUAAUCAUUGAUUUCUGAUGGAUAAUAACAACUGAAAUCCUCAAGAUGACAUUAUUCCUGUCCUGUUGAACAUACUAGUUACUCUUUACAUUCUACCAAUAGGACUAACUGAUUGUCAAAAAAGGAAACAGAACCAAAUCACUUCAUAGCUUUAAAGUAAGAAAGUAAUGCAAUAAUGGAAAGCCAUAACAUGGUUAGACCUGAUUAGCUACAUCCUCUAAAUUUUGACCCAGCUUUCUGAGAGCCUCAGCAUAAGGACCCGAGAGUUGUAAAUUACCAAUUGCAUUUAGCAAUGCCCUGCCCUGUACAAUACCAAGAGCUAGAAUUAAAAUAUAAACAAAGAAAGAAAAAUUAAGAAAUCUAAGUAAAAUAAAGAAAACAUAAAAAUGAACCUGUAGAUACUCCAUGGACAUAUAAUAAGCUUGCUUAACAUUAAUCUUCUCAUAAUAGUCAUAUGUUGCAUUCCAAUUUAUGAUGAGAGAAUCACAGACACUUUGUGCAGUUGCAAGGUAUGCCUUAUCGAGCUCAAAUUUCUCAGGAGAAAAGGAUGUCUUGAACUCAGCAUGAUAUUUGAUGCUAGAAGCAAUAGAUGCAGAAUCUGCUACAAAAUUAUCCAAAGUGCCUGCAAUUGUUAAACUAGACUUUCCUUAGAAAUUUGGAUGUUUUAGCUCAAUAGAAACAUAAAGAUUGGGAGAAGCAGUAAGCAACCUUGUUGAGACAAUGGUUCAUUCAGUUCCUGCCUUUUGUCACUGGCAACAUUCUUAAUAACGAGCUUUCUUAGUGCCCUUGUGGAGUUUGAUUUUCUGAUGAAAAACAGCUGGCAAAUACUGUUUCUUUGAGUGAAACCUGUGAUUCUUAACUUGGAACUGUAAUGUAAAGGUGAGUUGGCAUGCCUAAAGGUUGCUGAGAAGUGUAGAGCAGCCAUUGCUGCAAAACUCUAAUUCAGUAUGUGUAGAAAUAAUGUUGUGACCUGUGAGGAAAAGGGGGAGAAGUCAGUGAUAGAAGAUGAAGUCUGUGUUUAUCUUCUUAUCCUUUUUAUUCUUUCUUGCAUUUACUUAAUAUAUUGGAAUUUGGAGAUUGUGCUCAUUGAAGACGAGCUAAAAUAUUGUUUGUUGUUAUCUCUCCUUCUGCAUGUGCAUGAAAGUAGUUAAUGACCGAAACAUCCCUCCAAUAUUUCUGGGUUUGUGCCUUUCCCAUUGGUCCAUUUGGGUUUUUAAUAAUAAUUUGUCCAGAUAUGAUAAUGCAUACUGGCUUUAUCUUAUUGUCCAGAUUUGGCCACUAGGACAGCAAAUUAUCAUUUGUGCUUUCCUUUCCUAUCCAUGCCUUAUAAUCCCAUAGUGAAAGAUAGGACUUACGAGUUUCACAUUGAGAAUAAGAUUUGUAGUUGUCUUACAUCAUGUCUUGCAUUAAUGAAAAAGUAAUAAAUAUUUAAUUUUUUAAUUAAUAUGAUAUGUUUUUAUUGGUGCGAAACAUGAUUUAUGACAUAUUUUGGGACAACAAAUCCUUACUUCAACCCAUAACAUUAAACAAUAAAAUACUUAACUAGGUAUGACAUUAUGAAGUGGCAUUCUAGAAGGUAGUGAGACUCAUCUCUAUUACUCUCUAGAGAAGUCAAUUAUGAAAAAAUAUUGAAAAACCAAAUAACAAAGAUAUAUUGAAGUUAAAUUUAACCUUAAAAAUUCAUUACAAAAUAGAAUUUUCUCUCUUCUAGAGUGGAGUGUGGCUCUGUAUAAGGGUUGAAGUCGCAUGUAUACAAUUUCUCUCAUCAGGAGCAGGGAUAACAACACUAUAACAAGAUCCCUCCCUUUGAUAAUGGGCAAUGACAAGAUCACUCAACUCAACAGAAUCUUUAAACCUACUCUUAACACUCAAAAAUUAGUUCUCAAUCCAUGAAUAUUUCCUUCAAUUCUUGGGGAACCCUGUAAAGUCUGUAAGAAGUGGAGUUUUUUCUCUUUUUCUUCUUCUUACCCAUGGAUCCGUGGAAGUUCAUGGGGAAAAAUAAUUACUACCCAUAUAUCCUAAGAUAUGUUUCCAUAAUAAAUGAUAAAUCUCUCCAAAUAUGGAAAAGAUAAAGGGAAUAUCACAGAAAGGAAGAUACUUGAACCUUAAGAAUUCUAUUAAAAAUACCACCUCUGAAGUGAUAUAAAUAAGGGCUCCUCAAAAAUUUAUUUCUCUUUCUUACUUACUGAGAAUUACAUGAGCUUUGAUUCCUCUAAAAUAUGAUAUUCAGUCUUGGUUUUAUGAUAUCAAAAUACAAAUAAGAGAUUAAAUGAAUAAUUAAAAGCGCAUGGGAAAUUAAAUACUACUCUCCAGCCAACUCAAGUCCAUUCCAUAUAAGGAGGGAGAAAUAUUUGAAAUCCAUGUUAACAAAUGGUAUAAUCCAUCAUUCCCAACACUACAUUACACGUAACUCCAAUGCCUACAUAUAUAAACUGUGACUCAGUUUGAUGAGAGAUGGAGAUUUCUGACAAAACACCCCAAAACCAAUUAAAUUGAGUGAGGUCCCCCUAUGUUUUAUUAGCACCUAUAUCACUUCAUGUGUGUCUCUGGCUUUGCAUUAAUACUCUCACUUUGGCUAAUGUCACCCUUCUACCCUCUUUUUCCCAUCACUCUUUGACCCCUUUCCCCUCUCUCUAAACUACACCACCACUUCACAAACCAUAUUCACUUUACUCUUUCAUCUUUCUUUGUUUCACAAAUUAUGAAGAGCUCUCUCUCUUCACCCACAGUUUAUGCAAGUGCCAAUGUUAUCAUCACCCUAUUGGCUAUCUUAUUUAUCUUUUUUGUCUCCUCAGCAAAUUGCAGCCAACCUAGUCCACUUCUUCCAUCUCCAACUUCUUCAAGAAACAACAACAACCACCACCAACGUUAUUAUUGUGAUUCUUUUUCUAAAAGAAACUCGCGUUCUUUAUGCAUGAAACUUCAAAGAAUACACAGCAACUUGCCUGCAUUUCCACUUCCACCCAAGGCAAAUGGGAUUGAUCCAAGAUAUGGUGAAGAGAAGAGACUAGUUCCUUCUGGACCAAACCCACUUCACAACUGAUUCAACCAUUUCCCAAGCCACCUUACAAGUACUAGUAUAUACUAAGGCAUAUAUGAUAUAUCUUUAAUCUUUAACAGUAACUUCAAUCUGACCCUACCUUUCUUAGUGUUAGGCAAAACCCAUUUCCUAGUUUAUUCACAUUUCAUCACCACCACCUUUCUUGGAAUACCUUAUAUGGGUCUAUACUCUAUAUUCUAUAAUAUUGGAUUCCCCUUCUUGAAGUUGUAAUUUCUAUAUAGCCGCACUACUAUGGCAGACACAAAGAGACAAUAUUUGGCACGGAUCAUUGCUCCUCAUAAACUGAGACUCAUCGUUUCUUAGUUAGUUAUAGCUCAACCUUUUUUUCUUUAAUUUUAUUUGUUACCAAACAGUAUAAUUACAAUGUAAGAAAUUUUUACUAGUAAUGAAGCAAUUAUUCCCAUUUCCGUGCUUGUUUUAAUAUUUUCUGUCUUUUAAUGAGGGUCACAAGGGUAUAGUGUGUGGCGGUGUAGGGACUUUGGUACAAAGAUAAGUUGAAUAUGAAAAGAAGCAAGGAAAUGGUAGAAGAAUAUGGUUGGAGGUGGAGUUCAGAAGAACCCCAUGAGUUUCAUUAAUAUGGAGUCAAAAAGACUAGUUCGGAUGGAUCUAUUUAUGGUGUGGUUUUGCUCGGUUUCUAAGGUCCAAAUUGGUAACUUCUUCGUGCCAUCUUAGUCAUGAAUGUUCUUUCAGAUUUUAAAUAUUCACGUUGGACUAAGUAUUUUGAAUUAAUAUAUAUAUAUAUAUAUAUAUAUAUAUAUAUAUAUGAUAUAGUACGUUGCUUUUAGUAUGCUUAUAUCAUGGUUUAAAUUGUUUAAUUCGGUACAGUUGGCAAACGUAAUUUAUAUCCAUAGGAAAUAGUUUGGACUUCAACAUAAAUUAGAAGUGAGAUAUAUUAUUGGAGGUUAUAUAAGUAAAAAUAAUAAAGAUUUAAUCUUUUUUAUUGAUAUGAUAUGUUUUUGUUAAUCUCUUAGAUAACGUAUAGAUAAAAUCUAAGAUAUCACAUAUAUGUUUCCCAGGUGGAAUUUCAUUUUUUAAAAGAAAUUACAAAAAAUCUUAUCUCUUUUUUUGUUUCCAAUUAUGUUCUUAUAUCAUGGUUGAAAAGGGUUUUUCUAACCUAUACACUAAAUGCAUAUGAUAAGGAGUAAGGACUAUUAAAUUGUCUUCAAACUAAUCCAUUAUUUUGAGGGUCAUUUAAUAGCUCAUAUCAUUUACACUAAGUGCAUAAAUAACUGUGUUAAUAGAGAAAAUAGAUUCAUGGGUAAAGAAAACGAAGAUGAAAGCGAAAUUCAAGCUAAAUAAACACGAGCUUUGUCUCAUCUCAACCAUAUACUUUAUUGCUUGAUUGAAAUUAUUAUUAUAUAUAAUAAUUUAGUACGUGCUGCUUAAAUACUUGAAGACUUUGAAAAUGGAUGGGCAUAAAGGGGUGAAAGCGAUGAAGAAAUAUCAAAGUAAGAUAAAAAAUAUAGAUGAGAUUACGAAUUAGUUGAAAGAAGAAGGAAUGAAGAGCUGAAAGCAAAAGAGAACGCAAAUAUAAUUAGAAAAAAUGGCAAGCUUCGAAGGACAUGCAACUGCUUCUAAUUAAGCACAACACCAAUUAUAUAUGCAUGUAAAAUAUCACUAAUGUCUUUGUAAAUAUUUAUUUUACAGUCACCAUACUAUAAAUAUUGUAUCUGUCACUUGUGAAUUUGCUCAAUGGUGUGGUAAUUCUUGGUGUUGUUUGAAAACUUAUGUAGAUUCAUCUCAUUAGGCUUCGUAUAAGGUUGGUAAACACGAUGGCCUUAAAAUCUUUAUUUUUGUUGUAGUCUUAUGAUUUGUAUAAGGUCGGUUCUCACUUAUGAGAUAUAGAUACCAUAAGUAUAGCAUGAAAUAAAGUGAAAGGACGAGAAAAUGUUGAGAGAAAAAGAAAAUAUCUAUGAAGUGAUGAAUGAAAAUAUGAUUGCAACAGGUUGUAUUUAUACCAUAGUGAUUCUUAACUAAGCCUAACUAAUUAUAUUGCUUAACCAAUCUAAUCAGCUUGCGGUAGAAUCGUGUAGUACAACCGUAUAAGUGAACAAUACCGUACAGGUACAGAAUUAGUACAAUUGUAUAUAAACUCUCUAAACAUUACUGUAACAGUAAUAAAGAUAUCAAAUUCAAACGUCUCCAUGCCAGUUUUUUUUGGCUCAAUUAAUCAGUAUAGUGACAUAUGGAACUUGAGAUUUACUUUCUAACAUGUCUACUCCAUAUAAGUCUGUCAGAUCAGGCGAAAAGUUACAUUUGACCUAUAACUAAAGGAUAUUUUUUGGUCCAUGACAACGUAAAGAAGUUCGGCUCUGACUCUAAUAUCAUAUUAAGGUUUCAUCUUAAAACUAAUGAACAAUAAAAGAAGUAGUCCAACAAGUAUUUAAAUCAAUCCCGAAAUAAUAAUGUAAGUAACAUAGUACUUAGUUUCAGAAGGGAGAGAAGAUAAGAUGAAUACUGCUAAGAUUGGUUAAGCAAUAUAAUUAGUUUAUUUCCCAAGAUUUUUCUUUGCCAAAACAUGUAAUGAUGGGUUCGGAGUGGCGUAAGUGAUAAAUAGCAUAAAAGUUAUUAAUUUAAAUUUCAAUUCAUUCAUUAUAAUUAGCUACCAAAUAGAUAAACAUAGGAAGCUUGGGUAGAUAUUGAUGAUCAUUUUAGUUCGGUAUUGUGUGCACUUUGUGGUUGAUGAUAAAUGAAAUUGUUUUCAAAGACUUGAUCCAAGUGCACUUCUGUUAUCAUGUAGGUGAUUUUAUGCCAUUUCUCGUACCAAUCAGGUUAGCUUUCUAUGUUUCUUAGCUAAAGUCCAUGUCUUGUAUUUGCAUUCAUUAAUCUCUUGGUCAUAUUUUUUUAAGUCGGUAUCCUAAGGAAGUAAUUCUUUUAAACAUAUGUGAUUAUUCCUCUCAAAUGUUAUUAUUAAAAUUGAACAUUAAUCUUUAGAUUUGUACAUCUAGCAUCAUCUUAUAUCACUAUAUAAAUAUAUUAACUCUAGUUGGGACGACUUAAUACAUGUUCAUAGUAACUAAUUUGUAACAAAAAUAUAUAAUAUAACGGAUUGUAUGUUGAAUACUCCUAUAUACUACCUUCAAAAGGUGCAAAAUCUUCAUGUAACUAACAAAAAAUAAAAUAAAAGAGAGAGGUAAAAAGGACCUAGAUUCAAUAAUAUGAAUAAGUAAGUACACACAAUGGUACAAGGGGGGAAAUACAUAGAUACAUAGGGCCAUGGCGGAAUUGAACUAUGAUUAAGAAAGCAGAGACAACAGAAACACAUGAUACGAAGUUACAAACAACACAAACUUUCUUAUUCUGUUCACAACACAACAACAACAACAGUAAAAGGGACAUUAAAGGUCCUUAACCUUAAGAUGGUGAAAUAAGUUAUUUUUUAAAGACAUCUCCAGCCAACCUAGUAACCUUGUCUAACGCACCUUCUUGUUUUGGAGGGGCAGUGGCACUACCUACAUACUCAGCAGCCUUAUGAACAUUUUCCUUAGUUGCUUCUACAGCAUUCCCAGCUGCAUCAGUCACUUUCUCUUUGGCCGACUUGGCACUUGUGAGAAGCUCGCUGCUGGUUUUGUUGGGUGCUUCAGCCAUUGUAAUUUUUUUCUAAGAUACCAAAUUGCUUCACUUGUUACUGUAGAAUGUGAUACAAGAACAACAUGUAUUUAUAAUUGAAGUGCCACAUUUUUUUGGAAGAAAAUAUCUAUAAUAAUUGUGGUUGAAGGCUAUGUGGGUCUCAUUGGUCCACGUAAAUUGAUUGUUUUGCGUGUCGC